rnacentral:lncRNA from 1 species
GUGAAUCAGCUGGAAGAAUCUACCCAGGUCUACUAGAGUAUACACAGCCACUUGGCCAUCGAUCGAUGUGGCCAGAUUGUAGCCCACGGUACACCACUAGGACCUGCAUUUAUCUACGCAAUAAACAUGCGUAUGUAUACGUACGUAAGCACGAAAUGCAGCAGAAAUGCAGACUAUUAGUACUACUCGCACAUUCAUGCUGAAUUGCUGAAGCAUCAACCCUAGCUAGCGGCCGGGUCUUAGUUUUUUGUCUUCACGUGAUCAAGUCAUACACCACGGGAAGAGUUUGGCUGUCACCCACCGUCCCUUUCGCAGGUGACAUUGUAGAGACUUUGCUGUUGCUGUAUGCUGCGACCUACGAGAAAUGAAACGACGAUACUGUUUAUGAAUCUUCCAAAAGCUCAAGGGCACGCAUGCAAAACGCCAACGUUUGGAAGACCCAGGAAAACGACCUAACCACAGUAGGCAAUGCAACUAUGCAAGCUUCGAGAUCCGAGCAUAAAACAUUGGGUUGACUUGCCAUAACAGCCGGUCAGCAACCAUCCACAUGCAUGCUAGAGAUUGUGCAAAAACCCCUAUCUGCGUUUAGCACUAGUUAAUAUGUUUCUCAAGCAAGGCAAAAAGAUUGUCUUGCCGGUGCAUGUUUGAUUGUUUUCCAUGAUUCGGCGAUCGACCAUACUAACGCGGGAGAGAGAGUUAAAAAAUGAGAAUCAGAUGGGCAGAAACAACACGGCAGGGGCUGGACCUGCUGCAUGUGGCCACUACGGGCCCUGCAUUGGCCAGCACGCAGCGAGGCAGCAGCUACGGCGUCAGCGAGAGCCGCAGGGAAAGAUAGAAAAAAAGAAAACGAUUAGCUGCGGCGCUGGGUCGCUGGCCACCGGAAAGGAGCAGCUGCUUCUUGCAUUGCUCGCGUCUCCACUUUCCACACGCAGCCGCGUGCCGGUGAUCCUGUCGAUGGAUCGAUCGGUCCCCCAAGUCAGACAGGCUGCCUCUCUGGUGUUUUUGUUCCUGUGCUUGUGUCCUUUGCGCUCUCUCUCUCUCUCUCUCUCUCUCUCUCUGUCUCUCUGCCCAAUACUGUGCAUCUGUGUGGCUGUUGAGCCAAAUGACUUUAACCAGAAGCUAGCUCGUCUACCGCAUGGUUUGCACAUUUCCUGUGUGACCAAGUGGGAAACUUCCAGGAAGGUAUGGGUGGGGGCUAGGCUUGGGGAUUGAGGCAGAACGCCGAUCUCAAAAGACAGCUUUGGUUCAGGGUUUCAGGGCAUGGAGUGCAACAAAAGCUCUUAUCACCUGCGUACAUCUAUCUAACAUGAAUGCUUACUGGGGCUGAGCAGUUUAGCAGCCUCGCUGCUGUGAUACGUACAGUACUGCAUACCCAUAACUAACUGAUGGUACUUCAUGAUGUAAGAAGUGUAGUAGUAGGAGUAUAAUAUGGCUAACUACAGUAAAUCAAUGGUGUGCACAGCAAUAUUGAUUAAUUGAAUGGUGUUGGUGUAAGUAAGUUGAUAUCGGCAUUGCUUGGUGUUUAGGUCUAGGGACUUAACUUUAGUCUCUAUAUUUAGACACUAAUUUAGAGUAUUAAAUAUAUAUUACUUACAAAACUAAUUGCAUAAAUGAAAGCUAAUUUGCGAGACAAAUUUUUUAAGCCUAAUUAAUCUAUAAUUAGAGAAUGUUUACUGUAGCAUCAUAUAGGCUAAUCAUGGAUUAAUUAGGCUCAAUAGAUUCGUCUCACGAAUUAGUCCAAGAUUAUGGAUGGGUUUUAUUAAGUCUAUGUUUAAUAUAUAUAAUUAGUGUUCAAACAUUCGAUAUGAUAGGUACUUAAAAGUUAGACCCGUAUAAACAGGAUCUAGUGGUAUAAUGUCCUGUGCUAGUGUGUAGAAAUGGAGUGUACAUGCACGUCGUGAUUUAAGGACACUUUAACGCUAUGCAGCGUAUAUGCAUGCUUAUGCCUUCUUAAGAUGAUUUGACACUUGACCACGAACGAUUGAACCGUUGCUGUGGUUGGUAAUCCAUUUUAAUUAUCCUUCAUUAAUUAUAUAUAUUCGUUUAAUUCUUAUGAUUUUUUUGGAAUUUUAAAAUUAUUUAUAUUUUGGGAUGGAGGGAAUAUAAGUAAAAAAGAUUCUAAAUUUUCUUUCAAACAAUGCACUAUUAGUAGUAUCAACAAUUUACUCAUGAACAAAUAUACAGUAUACUCUAGGCCUACAGUUUGCUCGAGUGGGUGUCGUGUCGGUUGUUCGUGUUACCUCGCUCGUCAAUAUUGUCCAUUGGCCAUUGGGACAUCACUCAUCACUGGUCUCUCCUCGCUCCCACUUACUAUUUCCCGUCCUUAAACAUAAAUGUAAAUGAUUUUAGUGUUAAUAAACUUUAUCCACAAAUAUAAGAGAUUUUGUAAUAUAAUUUUUUAAUAUGUUUCACCAUUACUUUGUGAGUCUCACUCCGAUGCUCUCUACUAGUAGUAGAAAACAAUCUGAACCGUUAAUUUUAUUAGAUUAAAGAAUUCAGAUAUAUUAUACUACCAUUCUAGUUAGCGAUAGUAGAAACGCGAAGCAACAUUACUGUAGAAAAUUAGACGCCUCAUCGGUUGCCCAUAUUCCCUAACAAGCCACUUAUUAGGGAAUAAAAACAAUUUAUAAGUAAAACUUUUGUACAUUUGUUGAUUUAAAAGCCAAUGGUAAAAGAAAUUAUGUUGAAAAUAUCUCAAAAUCAACAAAAUCAAGUUCGACAAUUUAAAUUUUGACUUUUGCUUUGAUUUAUUAGACCAACCAGUGAGGCUCUAGGUGCGAAGGGGUAUAACCGUUAUUUAGCCGUAACUAAACCUUUGUUUCUUUGAGCGAUACCAACAUAAUAGAUGACUACAUGUUGAUCUAAUAAAAAAACAUAAACGACAAAAUUAGCCCUAACCAAUAUAUUAGUAAAUUACUAAUUUACCCUUAAUGAUAAAUAGUUCGGAUUAUUUCUGCUCGUUGUAUAAUGUUAAGUAAAAAGCACCGGAUUGUAUUGUUAUACGUGAUGUUCAAGUCUUUAAAUAUCAAAAUAAUUUUAAUAUCAUAAGAUUUGUUAUAAAUAAUCUAAAAUGGUUAUAAAUAAUCUAAAAUCCCAUAUAUUCGUGGAGUACUAUCAAGCGAGCCAUCGCCAUUCGCCAGCAAAAUUCGGUGGCCAGGCGAGAAGAGCUACUACGACUUUUCGCGACUCCCUUGCUUGGCUUGUCCCCAUGUUGCCGCCGAGUGCAGAUUAGAACAGGAACAAUAGCAGGCUAGAACCUAGCCGUAAACAUAUUUUAAGAAAAUAAAUGAGAGAGAAAAGCAGCGGACUAUAUAUUUGUAGUCAGCUGUAGCACGGACUUCAAGAUACAGUGUGUAUGACAGGUGAGACCAGAUAUUAGUAGUGUAGUAUGUAACUAUUGUAUGAAUGAGCUAUUAGAUUAGCUAUAGAUGAAUUGGAGCCCGUAGUUGGCUAUAUAUACUAUUAAACUUGCUCUUAGAGCAGGUACAAUAGCAGGCUAUUAGCCAGCUAUAAACAUAUUUUAAUGAUAUAAACGACGAGAGAGAAGAGCAGCGGUCUACAGAUCUGUAGCCAGCUGCAGCACAGACUCUAAGACACACUAUAUGACAGGUGGGACUAUAUAUUAAUAGUACAGUAAACAACAACUGUAUAAAUUAGUUAUUAGAUUGACUAUAAAUGAAUUGGAGCUAUUAGUGGGCUGACUUAGCUCUUAUUGUUGCUCAGGUCGGAGGCCCCCCUGAUCUCCUCAAGAGCCGUGCCUGCCAGCAACUCUCUUUCUUUCACACACACUAUAAUUUCUCUCUCUCUCUCUCUCUCCGUACGUGGCGACGUUGGAGUCUACUACCUGUUGGUGACUAGGGCCUGACCCAUCAAUCACCAGUGGAUCACCUCGCAUCCGUACGUCGUCGUCGCUGAUAUUGCAAGCUCGUAGUAGCAGCAUCUCCAUCUCAUCUCCCGUAGAUUUUGCACGGACCGAUCAGGACCGAUCAGUGCAACAGUACUAGAGAGAGGCGUAUCAUUGCCGGCCUCCUGCUCCAAGCUAUAGUACCCGAUCUGAUACUACUCCUACUACUACAAGUCUCCACCAAUUAUUCUUCCAGAAACCCCAGCGCCGUGUUCCAAUCAAAGAUUCCACCGGCUGCCUGGACGCCGUUUUCGCCUGGCCGGGAGGGCCGGUCGUCGAAACAACGUUGAUUCCGCUGGGUUUUCGUUUUCGCCCAGGCCGGCCGGGUCGUCGUCAAGACAACAUUAAACGGUGCGGUUUAAUGUCGUGACAUGAUGGGUUCUCGUCAGUCUCCUCGUGACAUGAUGGUGUGUGCAUAUGCCGCAUCAGCGCAGCAGCUUGAUUCCAAUGGCCGUAUCAAUUCGAGAUCGAUCACAGCAAGAUUCAGAUAUGGCCGGUACCAUUGCCAACAAUCCUACCUCAGGCUGAGCUGGAGGUAGCUGCUAGCCUGCUAGUGGUAGUGUACUCACUACCAUGGCUAGUUACUCCUAGUAUCAAGCAUGAUAUACUGGCACUCUGAUCACCUCUCGACGUCAAUGUGUUGCACAUGCCAAAAGAUCACGCCUUGCAUGCACAGCUGAUUAAACUAAUCAAGGCACGAACAGGCACCUAACCGGGCUCAUCUGGAUAGCUAGAGACCACCACCCACCAUACCAUACCAUUCCUUCCCCCCAGCUUGCGAUUUGUUGCAAUGCGGCGCCAGGACCAGCAAAAGCAUGCGCGAUAAGCUUAGAUGCCGUGGGAACAGAGCAGUAGUACUUGCAACGCGUUGCUUUUGUUCAUUUCCAGAUCUCUCUCUCUCUCUCUCACUCUCUCUCUCCUUUUCUUUUAAAUUUUCUUUUUUAUCUUCUCUAUUGGCGAGCAUAUCCCUGCAAAAGUCACUGUUUCCGGCUUCCCACCUGUUGCUGAUAAGUUUAGCAUAUCAUGUCUACAGCUACGUGUGUCAGUGUGUGCAAUUUGUGCAUGCAUACCGCCAUGGGCGCGCCCAUCAGAUAGCUCCAGGCCACCACGAGCUUUCCCUUUCCAAUCAAACAACAAACAUAGGGCACCCCCCGGGACAUGCAUGCACCUGGGGCAAAGGUGCAGGUAGAGAGAGAGAUCAUCGGUCUCGGCACACAACACGUCACGUCUCGCGGACUGCACAAACGCAUCAGAGAAGCUAAAGGAGAAAAAGAAGCUGCAGAUGGGGAAAUAUCUCCAUUGGUUGUGGUUAAUUGACAUUUGACAGAUAUGAUGAUGGAUAAUUUCAAAUGUUUCUUCUUCUUCUUGUGUGUCAGUUGGUCUAGCCUUCUAGGGCUAUGCUUCAUUAGUGUACACUUGGGAUGAAAAGAUUUACAGCAAAGCAAGCAAGAACAUGGGCGAAUAAAUUAACAAAAAAAACCAAGUGAGAUUAGUAGAUAGGAUCAACAAGGGACUAAGCUAGCUACCACCUGAAUUAUGAUGCAUGGGAGCAAAAAAGACACUAGCUAGAGAAGAUCGAGCUAAUAGUGCUAACUCUAUACUAGUGCCAGCUCUAUGCAUUGCUUCUUGAACGCCGCCGCUUGUGGAGGCGUCGUCGCCGCCAAGUCCCUGGCUCUCUUGCACCCGGCCAUCUGUUCGACCGGCGCCGGCGCCGUGAGCAGGUCCACGCCGAAGAGCCUGACGGCCUUCACCGGCGACGGCGCUGGCUGAUCAGCGGGCGACGCGAGGGCGGCGCCGGUCGACCGUACUAACUUGCAGUCGAUGAAGAGCUUGCCGUCGUCGCCGGCACUGGCGGCGGAGCGGUAGAAGCCGACGACGUCGCCGGCGUGGAGACCCUUCUCCUUGACGAAGCGGCUCCAGCCCUUGGUUAGCACGUAGCUCUGGCUGCUGUUCCAGUACGAGUACCGGAACCGCCACACCUUGCCGGCGGCGUCCUCGAAGUUGAGGAGGACACCCUUGCUCUCGCCGCCGGCGGACGGGAGCUGUAGCGGGAAGUGCUUCUCGGCGUGCUGCUUCGGUAUGACGAGCCUGUUCAGCUUGCCCACGUCGCUCGGGGUGACCGUCUUGUCGAACAGGUGGUCGCGCGCCGCGGCGGGCGCGAAGGGGGAGCGGGGCGACGAGAGGUGGCCGUUGGAGAGGGAGGCGGUGGUGGUCGCGGCCGACGGCGUGGAGGCGGCGAAGGUGCGCUUGCUCUGCGCGAGCUCGUCGAAGUAGGUGUGCUUGCGGAGCAUGUCGACGACCUCGGCCUUGGAGCGCGUGGCGAGGAAGCGAAGCUCGGCGGCGGCGUCCGGGUCGGCCUCGGCGAGCGGGCGGAAGUUGGUGACGGCGUCGCGGCCGCGGAAGCGCUGCGCGGCGACGUCGUAGGCGCGCGCGGCGUCGUCCUCCCCGGCGAACGUGCCGAGCCACACCCGCUGGUGCCGCUCGUAGAUCUGCGCGCCCCACCUCCCGUUGGGCUGCGGCACGACGCCCUUGAACUUGGACGACGGCAGCUUCCCUCCCGCACCGCCGGCACCGCCGCCGCCGCCGCCGCACACACGUCCCCCGGACCCGGAGUCCGCCUCCGCGCCAGGCUCGGCCGCGUCCACCACCGCGCUCGCCCCGCUCCCCAUGCGCUCCAGCGGCGCCGUCUCCGCCGCCGCGGCGGCCAACGCCCUCAGCUUGUCCGUGGACGAGCCGCCGCUGUUGGUAUCAUCCACCAGGCAGCUGGAGCUGUCCAUUUCAGUAGACCUCACACACUAGCACACUCCUACUCUCCUCUACCCCAGUACGGACGGAUGCAACUCAACUCGACUCGAACUAUCUCUUGCUUCCUUCUGUUGGCGAUGCUAUAGGCGGCAAGCGUAGGAUAAGUAGGAGAGGAGGGAGACGAAGGGGGAGGAGGGAUAUAUAGGAGCGGUGGGUGGGGGGUGUGGGUGGGUGGUUUGGCUUGCGAUAGAUGCCGGAAUGUGUUUGUGUAUGGGGGCAAUGGGGGCUACCAUACUGCGCCCCCUAUACGGCUAUACCAUGUCCGCGUGGAGGGAAGGAGGAGGAAGCUGAUGGUUUGCUAUACUACUUUUGUUCUGGUGUGUGUGUGUGUGUGUUUUUUAUCUUUUCCUCUUUUCGGUGGCUGGAACCGUAUAAAAAAUGCCCUGCUGUUGUGUUGGACUUUGGAUAGAACGACGUCACGGCACAGGGGAGAUGAGGGAGGGAGUGGCAAGUGUUGGUUUGUGGGGGCAGUCAGCUCAGCCCAUGGAUACCGCGGGAUGGCUUCAUCGAGAGCUGGUAGCUGGAUAAAGAUGGAGGAUAGAUUGUUCUUGUUGCUCUGGUGAUGUGAGCUGGCUUGGCCUGGAAAAUGUGCCCUUGGGGGCAGCUCGCCAUGUCACACUUGGCCCCUUUCUGUGUUCUUUUUUCUUCUUCUUUUUAUUGGGUUUGCUUUGGCAGUUGCUUUGAUCAAAGCAAUGGCUGCAUUAGUGUUGCUUAAAUAUCCAUGGUUUAUUCUGUUCGGGUGGAUAUAUAUUGCGUGUGAUGACCUGUGCAUUGUGGAGUGUUCUGUUGUGCCAUGCAUGGACUAGUAUGCGUCUUUUCUGGAAAUUUUGGAGGAAUCAGGUGGGAUAUUGCGUCAACAGGGGAAUUCUUUGGUCCUAGUGAGUGUGAUAGAAACAAGGAACUGGAAAGUGGAAACACCAUGUAAAAGUAUACUGGGACAUGUUUUGUACCAUAUGACAGAAAGAAAAGUAUAGCUUUAUUACAUGAUGCCAAAAGAACUGAGGCACAAAUUUAGCGUGGAAAAACUUUUGGAAAGUAAAAACCAUGAACACAAAUAUACAAUUAAUUGAAAUCAGUUAUGCGUAUGGUGACCAAGGUAGCAAUGGUGUAUGUAGUAAUAAAUCAUGAAAAAGAUGAUGCCCUAGUGCUAUCUUUGGUUUCAAAUAUACUUUGUCCCCAUAUAUAUAAAGAUUAUAUUAUGCAAAAAACCUUCAUAUAGUUAGAUUUUUAAAAAUAUAAAUAGGCCCACAUCUAGAUAAGUGCAAGGUAAAGAGAUGGCAUAGGCCUCCAAAAACUAGGGCCCCUAAAAUUUGUGUUUCAAUCAAUGCUAAUAUAACAUUAAAGGGUUCUGAUCCAUUAUUUCAAGUUCCACUCUUUCUCCUUCACUCAGAGCCCCAUCAGUUAGCCUAAUACGCCAAAGCAAAAGUCAAGAUUUGAAUUUUGAACUUCAUUUUAAAGUUGAUUUUAAGAUAUUUUCAACGUAAUUUAUUUUUAGUAUUGUCUUUUAAUUUGCUGCAAAUAAAGAUGUUUUGGUUUAUUAUGAAAUAUGAGCAACUAAUGAGGCUCUCAUUCGGUUGGAAAAUGUCUUACUUUCCUUAGCUCCGACUUUGAUGAUAUCAUCUCAAAAUUGUAUCCAUAAUGGUAAUAUAAACGUGCGUUGCCAGCACUGGAGAUUUUAUUUUUCCACUUGUAAAUAAAACUAAAAUGUUCAUCAUGAUGCAGUUCUUGGUUCACGCACUUGGUCAGAGCGCCAUCGCCAUUAUCUGAGCGUCCAGCCAUUGUUGUACGUCCGUGCACGAUUCCUACAUGCAUCUUCAGUAGCAGUGCAUAAUAUAGCUAGAGAGAGAAGCACGUUAGAUUUGAUUGCUAACUCUGCUGUUAUGGAUAUAACCACAAACGACAACAACGCGGACUCAACAAAGAGCAAUGGGGAUGGAGCUCCUCUAUGUUAUCUUGAUACGGGGAUAUGGAUACGCGAUACGGAGAUACGAGGAUACGGCAUUUCCUAGAAAACACUGAUACGGGGAUACGUUUAUAUAUAUUUAAAAAAUAAAAAAUAUAGAAAGAAAACAUAAAUAACUGCAAGAGUAUAAAUAGAGAAAAAAGAGAUAGCAUUACAGGGCAUGAACUAGUCAGGAUAUCAAGUUCAACUGUCAAUAGGUAAAUAAGUUUAAUUGGUGUUUGUAUCAUUGAUAGUGCCAUAUCAUCGAACAGGUCCAAUGCACCAAAAAUCUUUUAGCACUCUGACAGGAGAUCAGGCCCAUCAGGUAGCUCUCCCAUAGAUAAUGUGCUAUACGUAGGAGUUCUAGUCUUCUAGAGAAGCAGUUGAGCCCGUCGUCGGAGGCUGGGGUUGACAGUCGGCAGCCCGACGAAGGAGUUGCUGCGCCCUGGAGGCUGCGGCCGGCGGCGCUCGGCGCUGUGGCCGGGGGCGGAGGGCGACGGCGGCGCGGCGCAGCGGAAGGGGAUGGCGGUGCGGCACGGCGGCGGAGGGCGGCGGUGCUGUGCGGCGUUGCGGCGGCGGAGGGCGGCGGUGCUGCACGGCGUGGCGGCGGCGGCGCUGCGCUAUGACGCGAGGAAGAGGCGAGCAGAGUUGGGGUCGGGGAGGUGGCGCUGUUGGUGGGUUUUUGCUCGCUGUGUGUUGGCUGGGGAUUUUGAUCGAUGAUUUUAGGGUUACAGCGUAUCGGAGAAGUAUCGGAAAUAUUUUUUAUUAUCUGAAAAUCGUAAAAAUGGCCGAUACGUAUGGGAUACGUAUCGGGGCGUAUGCAAUACGUAUCCGUAUCUGUAGCCGUAUCCAAUAUGGAUACGUGGCCUAGGAGGAGUAUCCGGUAACGUAGGAGCUCCUUCCCAACGAAUUGCAAGGUUCCUAGCGUCGAUGGAAAAAACGAGUCAACCUACUCAAUUGUGCAACUUUGGCCAAUAACAUAGCGUAAAGUGAAAUUUACUCCUUUAUUUAUUGAUAUUUUUUAAAUACAUGUUUUCAUUGUUCCUUGGCGCUAGAUAUAAGAUGAAGAAUAACAACAAUAAAAUACAUUCAUUGGAGAUUAUCGAUGGCCUACAUUGAAAGGGAAGAAAAAUGAUACUUCAUCUGUUUCAUAUUAUAAGACUUUAUAGUAUUAUCUAUAUUUAUAUAUAUAUAUAUAUAUAUAAAAUAAUAAUAAUGAAUCUAGACAUAUAUGUGUAUAUAUAUUUAUUAAUAUUUAUAUGAAUAUAAGCAAUGCUAGAAAGUCUUAUAACUUGAAAUAGAGGUAGUACCAUUUUAGCAUUUGUAUUGUCAAACUUCAACAACCCGGAGGCCAGCUGAGCUGCAGAAAUAUUUGAAUUUCUCGUGUUAAAACGAUAUAGAUUAACCUAGCUACCAACAAAAGGUACUCCCUCCGUCCCACAGUAUAAGGUAUUUUGAGUUUUCGAUUGCAACGUUUGACCACUCGUCUUAUUUAAUUUUUUUUUUGCAAAUAUAAAAAACAAAAAGUUGUGCUUAAAGUACUGUAGAUAAUAAAGUAAGUCACAAAUAAAAUAAAUAAUAUUUUUUUAAAAAAAAUAAAUAAGACGAGUGGUCAAACGUUGCAAGCAAAAAUUCAAAAUCCCAUAUAUUAUGGGACGGAGGAGGUACUAACUACGAUAAAAACGUACUCUAGAUGCGUACUUCCUCCGUUUCACAAUGUAAGUCAUUCUAGUAUUUUUCACAUUCAUAUUAAUGCUAAUAAAUAUAAACAUAUAUAUUUAUAUAUGUCUAGAUUUAUUAACAUCAAUAUAAAUAUGGAAAAUGCUAAAAUAAUUUAUAUUGUAAAACGGAGGGAGUAACAAACUAUCAUAUGCUCUACGCGCACACAUCUUGUUGGUGGCAUACCCAAUCCCUAGUGGAGUGUGGAAUGCAUUAAUUUGUUCACUGAACUACGCCGCGUAUAUAUGUAAUCGUAAUGAAGAUUAGUGGGAAACAACACAAAGUCUAGACCUUGACACCGGGGAUGGACAUUAAUCUCACCCCUUGACGUACGACCACUACAAAUUAGUAAGAGGUAACGGUCAAGGCACAUGUUAGAUCGAUAUAGUGUUUAUAUCCUCAACGACAGGUAAAAAUGAAAUGAUGUGCGAAACAACGAGAACUAAACGUUGCGGUUUACUGGAACUAUUAUAAAAACGAUAUUUCUUUUACUAUCGAGAUCACGUACGAAAAUAAGUCUAUUUUUUAGACAGACUUAUUAAGAGAUUGUAUGAAAAAUUAAAUAGAUUUUUUCAUGCCGGCAACUUGGAGCAGCAAGCAAGUGGGCCCUACGCAUCCCCGCACUAUUUUUUCUCCCACACCUUUUUUUUUCUCCUCCUUAUCUCCACCGUAUCACUCUUUUUUUUCUCUCUUCUUCUCCAAAACCGCUUCUCUUCGCCUUCCUCUCCCACUCCACCUCAUCUCUUCCCCUUCUCUUUACCCCAUCUCUUCUCCACCUCCAACGGCUGAGACAGAGGUGACGACCUCGCAGGUGGGCGCCGCCAGUGAGCGACGAAGGCGGUCUCGGGUGCGGGCGGUGCUGACGCGCGGAUCCAGCUGCACCCGUCCGAGAGAGCGGCGAUGGUGGCCUUAGCGGAGGCGGAGGCAGCCUUGGGGGUGAGGGGAUCUGACUCCCCCGUCCUCGGGAGCGGUGGUGGUGUGCGGAUCCGGCUGCCCCCACCCUUAGAAGUGGCACCGUGGGUUGCGGCGGUGGCCGCUGCAACGACGAUGAGGAGCUAGGGUUUCGGUAGAAUGGAAAUCUUGGAUUUAUGCUAAAUUUCUUUUGGGGAAUUUUAUUUUAUUUUAUUUUUCUCUAAAACUAUUUUUGUAUGUGGUUGAUAUAGGUUACCGCAUAUAAAAAUCAUGUUUUUCACAUGCGGUUGGGCUCUACGUAUGAAAAAAGAUGAUUUUCGUAGACCUGUGGGUCCAGGCGGGUCGCUGAGCCGCAUGAAAAAAACGAUUUUGGUUGCCCCCUCCAGUGCUGCACCCUUGCACGUCGAUCGGUUCUAUCUUAAACAAACCGGUCGAUCCGCGUCGAAGAGAUAACGUUCGCGAUGGUGAGUACUGAGUAGUGGUGGUUGAUAAGUCGGCGCGUGCCAAACCCCUGCAAGUUGCCUUAGAAUUUCUGAUGUGGGUGUGCGCUGUGCUUUUUGGCCGUACACGCCGUUCGCCCGCUGGUACCCCCGCGGCCCGGGCCGCGCCGCGAAAACAACAGCGCGAGAAAUUUGGCCAGAUUUGUUGCGACGCGGGCGUACUUUGAGAGAGAAUGCGUAUGCCAAUGCCAAAGCCAAGCAGCAACCGGGGCGCGAGCGAUAUGGCCGCCGCGACCGCGACGCGCGCAAGUGGACUCGCUACGAACCAGUAGAGUAAUUGCAGCGGCGACUUGCACGUUGCAACUUGCGUGGCGCAUGCGCGGCCUCCGCUCUCCAUAGUUUCUCUCUCACGCGCGCGGCUGCUAGUGAUGAGUGUGUUAGCUGUGCUAUCUCUCCUCUCGUCUCGUGGGAUUUUAAUACUCCUGUGUAAACUGAAAACAACACAACACACACCAGAUAUAUGCCACUGUUGGAUGUAUACCCCGAUCCAGCUAGGUAGUGUGCCAGUGGGGGAAGCAAGGUACCACUACAAAGUUAAUGAGGCAAUUUAAAACUGCGGCGUAUGCAUUACUAAAACCGGAGUGCUGUUGCGCGGGGGGGAAGACUUGGGGGGUCUAAACCGGAGACUUGGUGCGUCUUCUUGAUGGGCAACAGAUAAAGAAUAGUAGUAGUAUUUUUUUAGACUAGUUAUAUGUGCAUGUUUUACUAUAAGUAAAAAAAUAUAUCUUAUAAUAUUACUUAAAAUAAAUAAAAUAUGUAUUCUCCAUGAAAUAUGUUACCUACAACCUCCGUCCCAAAAUAAGUGCAUCCGUGGAUAUCCGUGCCCAACGUUUGAUCGUCCGUCUUAUUUGAAAAAUUUGUGAAAAUUUUAAAAAUAUUUAGUCACACAUAAAAUACUAUUCACGUUUUAUCAUAUAAUAGCAAUAAAAAUACUAAUCAUAAAAAUUUUUCAAAUAAGACGAACGGUCAAACGUUGAACGCGAAUAGUACAAAACUGCACUUAUUUUGGGACGGAGGGAGUAUCAAUAAAUCAUUUUGCUAUAAGAAAUAUUCAUCUUAAUUUGACUUUAUUUGUGACUAUCCAUUAAAAUUUGAUUGAUUUUGAUACUAAGAGAGUUUAAGCGCUAAAUUAAAAAAUUACCAUGAGAGUAGGUGGGGGUGGCAAAUUCACUACCGCCACCACUAUACCCCCCUCCAUCCCACAGAAAACAAAUCUAGAACGAGAUGUAACAUAUUCUAGUACAACGAAUCUAGAUAAAGAUAUAUCCAGAUUUACAGUACUAUGAUGUGUCAUAUCUAGUAUUAGUUUGGUUUUUUAGAUACAGAAGGAGUAGAUAAUAAAAAUAAUUUUGUUAGAAAUGAAAUUAUAUUCGGUCUCUGCAAACAGCCAAGAAAUAUCAUGAUGUUAUUUUUACAGCAACUCACUUAAAUAAAAGCAAGAUAAUCUCUACUAUUAUAAAAAUUGAAGAUAUUUUUACCGGUAUUUUGAUAAGUCAUCCAUAUUUAAGUUGGUUUUUUAAGUUUGUUCGAUUUUGAAAAUACAAACGGAUUUUAAGUUCUAUUGCUUUUGAAAAUACAAAUGGAGUCGUACAAUAAAUCUCUUUUUAAAAAACUCACAUACUAACUUGAGAUAAAAGUCGGACUCCUAAUUGUAACCUAUAAUUUUCUAAAAAAAAUAUCCAAACGAAUUUCAACAGUGAAUUUCACCCUAGCUAUACCGUAUAACAAUAAUAAGAUUAAAGUAGAGUUCACCCGUUGCAAUGCACGGAUAUUUUUCUAGUACCUUAAAAACCAAGAUAAUAGCAUAAAACGCUAGACACUCCAAAAUAUUUGUCCGGCACUGUCAUUGGAAACAUGACUAGAUUUUCAUCUAAGUAACUUAAGAUGAUACCUUAAAAAGAAAAGGCAAACAAACAUCGAUGUUGUAAAAUCCAGGUAAAAUAUGCUACCUGUGUAGUUUAAUUUUUGGCAACUUAAUAAGUAAAUGAAAGGCGUACUAUGGGGUGUUUAGGAGAGAGGGGCUAAACUCUCAAAAACAUAAGUCCCUCCUAUAGAGACUUAUGUUUUUGUGAGAGGGACUAAAGUUUAGCCCCACUUUAGUCCCUCCAACCAAACACCACCUUAUGGUUUUGAGAGAGGGGCUAAAGUUUAGCCCCUCUCUCCCAAACACCCUCUAUAUAGGACUAGCUCUCUCUAGAAAACUAGAGUAAACUAGUACUUCCUCCGUUUCAUAUUAUAAAAUUUUUAGUAUUAUCUAUAUUCGUAUAGAUACUAAUGUGUAUAUGGCAAUGAAAAAGUCUAAUAACUAAAACGGAGGUAGUACCAUGUUUGCUGCGCAUCCAUCUGACUUCGAUAGUGUCCCUGUGGCUAGAGAAAAUCCUUUUCUGCACCUACAAGGGGCGCAUUGGAGAUACGUAUCCUAUACGCCGGGGUUCAUCAGGUCUUCGUCUCCUGGGGAAAAAAAUAUUUACUACGGUAUGGAUUUUUUUUUUUACAACCAAAGGGAUUAGAAUAGUACGCGUCAAGAUUGACUGAGUUGGAUUUUGAACUUUCCUGGGAAUCGAGGUGGAUAUUUUGAACGGGAUCGAACGGGAGAGCAUAUUGUUGUUCCGUCCACAGAUACUGUACGUAUAUACUGGUAUCGCCAGGCACGUCAUAGAAAUUUCUGCAAGCGUAUAUAUUUGGAUGUGGAUAUUACUGAAAGCGCCAAAAUCCAGAGUUUGAAAUUUACUCGGACCAACUUAUUUCCUCUAUAUACCGUAGGUUCAAGUGUAAUAUUGAGGGGCCUUAGUGUGACCAUGUAUGCUCAGUUUAUAAUCGACAUCUCUCUAUAUCUUUAAAAAAGCUAUUCUAAAUGAGGAUUUAACACUAGCUAUAACAACGAAGCUGUAAUAUCCUACGUGAUGUUAAAUCCCUACCUAGCUCGGUUAUUUUUUUAGAGAGAGGAUAGUGUUAGCAUGCCAGGCCUGGUCGAUAGUGAUAGCAUUGGUUUUUAAGAUUUGUCUGAAUUGAAGCUUAAAUUUUGUCGUUUGUGGAUGUUCGGGAGUUCAUGCUGUGGUAUUUUGUGCCGCACAACCUAUUAAUUUCGCUGCAGCAACCGAUAAACCGCAUUGUUGGUUUGUAGUAACGCCACUGUUGGAGCCGAAGCUCCUCUAGCAGGGUGAAGUGGCAGCCCCUUUGAGGUAUUCAGCCAGGGAGCGAAUGAAUAGAAAUGAGGCUAUUGGCGUCACGCAAAUGAACAAGGGUUGCAAAAGAUGAUGGUUUAGACAAUGUUUUUUUUGGAACAGAUCAACUUGCAUUGAUUCGGCUUUUGGGAGAGAAAGCCGAAAGGAUUACAGGAACAAAGUCUUACACAAAACGAAAAGAAACACAACACAUUACAUUACUGCUGGGUAUAUCCAGCUUUCCAGAUACAGCACACUGCAGGAACAACACCCAAAUAGAACCCUUUUGGACUGGGGACAAACUAGAUACAAGCAAAAACAACUUAGAUAGAUGAUGGUAGAUGUUGUGGUUUUAGUUGAACCAGUUUCCCUAGCCCAGCUUCAUGCCACCCUCCCAAGAUUACUCUUUCUUCCUCUCUUAACAGCACGCUCCACUUCUGAGAGAAAGACAGAGCUUUGUAGGCCACCUGCAAGGGUGAUUUCACCAAGAUAUUGUUAAAAACCCGAUCAUUUCUAGUUAGCCAAAUAGCCCAACAGAAGCUAGCCAUCAUCAACAACCAAACCCUAGAUUACUUGUCACCCCUCACUAGCCCAAAACAAUCCCACAAUGAUCCUGGUAAGAAAUUCAGGUUUAUAGCCUCCUUAAGCACACAUCAGGAAAAAACAGCUAAAGAGCAACGAAAGAUAACAUGGUUAGUACUUUCAGUUUGUGAACAGAGUUUACAGAACUCAUUUCCUCCCUUCCAAUUCCUUUUCACCAAUUGCUCAGCACAGGGGAGUCUCCCUCUCUUAACUAGAUAAAAAAAUGUUUUAUCCUUAGAGGAAUUCUACCUUUCCAAACUUCCCCCAUUUCAGUAUCCCUAAUACCCCCAAAAGUUAAAAUUCUAUACAUUGAUUUUGUGGUGAACACCCCUUUUUCAGUAUGAGGCCAACAGACCUUGUCAUUCUCAGUUCCUAGUUGAGCUUCCCCAAUUAACUCUACAAGCUCCCUAACCUCUCUAACCCUUUGUUCAUCUAAAUUUCUUCUAAACUCCAAGCUCCAUUCUCUGCCUACCACCGUAUCCUUGACAGUAGCAUUUUGAUCAUGACUAAUUUCAAAGAGAUCAGGAAAUUUGACUUUCAGAGGUACAUUAUCACACCAAACAUCCUUCCAAAAACUCACAUCUCUCCCACUGUGCACUUCCUUUGUGACCAGCCUGGAAAGCCACCCUUUGCAUUUCAGCAAACCCAUCCAAAAUUGAGAGCCACCAUUCCCAUUUCUUGUGAAAAAAUUUCAAUUCCUCAAAUAUUUCCUUCUCAGUACCUCCAGGCAUACAUCAGGUGCUCCACUUUCCAAUUUCAUAACCCAUUUACUGAACAUGCCACUGGAAAGUGUAACACUCUACUUAUAUAUUCUUGUCUAGAUUCCUUGCUAAAAUGUAUAUAGGAUAUUGGUGUACUUUUGUUCUUAGGCACUAAAGCCGAUUUGUUAUGUGUGGAGACUAUAGAGAUGUUCUAAGACUAGCUCUUCCUUCUUUUCUAGUGGUAUUGACCCUCCUUUUUUAACCGUAAAGAGAUACACGGUGCCCAUGCAUGCAUAUAUAAGUGGAACCUAACCCACAGGGGUUGGUAUGCUUGUUCUUGUCACACGACAGUUGGCGGAGCCCACUAUCAGCCCUAAACUUGCAUGUCGAUCAUGUUGGCGGAGCGUAUAGAGCCUUCUCUCCGCUCCUGCUCCUUCCUUUUGACGCGUGGUUUUGGGUAGGUAACGUGGACAGUAAGGUUUUGACACUGUCAAAUUUGGCUCCAAAUCAUUGGAUUCAUUUCAAAAUUUGUACAGAUAAGGGAGUAGGAAACAAAUUCUAUAAUGCGAUAGUAGGAGGAAUCGAACCUACGAUCAGAGCUACAGCUAAAUGUGUGCCUUAUCAACUGAGUUAGCACUUUGGUUUGAUAUUUUUACAUGCUAGUUAUGCAUUAGUUAUAAUGUAACUAAAAUAUUUAUGUUGAAAUUUUUUAGUGUUAUAUAGCUACAACCUUAUUUUUAGCCAUUGCCUUUCUAACUUUCGUGUAGCCUUUGUUAGGUCCUCUAACGGAUUAGUCCACCAUAACUAUAGGAAAUGCACCGAUCUACGUCUUGUAAGUCUAUUUUUUUAAUAGAUGGAGUAUGCCAUUGUUUAAAGUGGUAAAAAAGAGAGAAAGAAAUGAUACUUUUCAGAUUUUUGAGAGCCCAUAACUAGCACACCCUUCAUCCCCAAUAAGAUAAUCUUUAUACAUGAAUCUGGACAUAGAAAAAUUUAUUUUGGACAAAGAGUGUAUACCAAUAAAGAAAAAUACGGUCUUGCACUUCACCACACCAUGUUACCACUUCUUCCCUUCAAAAUUCUUCCACUUUAUAGCGUGACGUGCGUGACGUAACAUUAUCCAGUACAUAGAUGACAUGUAUAUAGGAGGUGCUCUCUUUAUUCUAAAAAUAAACCAACACGACUGAAGGCUGGAUUCUUGGUGAAUUUGUUUUGUAAAGAGGAGUAGAUGCACAAUUCCAUGCAUACCUGGAUCACCACCACUCCGUACAGGAGGUGUUGUGAAACGCGACCAACUGCCCGUAUCUCAUCUACUGGAGUACGUACAUCGUGUUUAUUCCAAAGUUUUUCUUCAAACUUCUAACUUUUCUAUCACAUCAAAACUUUCCUACACACAAACUUCUAACUUUUCCGUCACAUCGUUUCAAUUUCAACCAAACUUUUAAUUUUGGUGUGAACUAAACACUGCCGUAGUACAUUCUUCAUUGCAGAUAAAAAUGUGAAACGUCCAAUGUGUCAGCUACAGUAUAGGUUUGUGUUUGAGCUUCGGCAAGCUGCUUAGCACUAUUUCAGAUUACCUGUAUAGGAGUAGUAAGGAUGGUACUGUAGUAGUAUACAGGAACCCGCAGCACGCGACCACGCGUGGUGUGUGAUCGCUGAUCAGGGCAUCAGGCUUGCAGGCUGCCUCUACUGUUGUAGGAAGCGAAGCAUGGAGAAAGCUAGCAGGUGUCGCUGUGGUACGGGGCUUCGAGGGGUGGGCCCGGCAGAGGGGCAGGCGUAUGAGGUAGGGGGCGUGGCGUUCACAUGGGCCAAGUGCAUUCCCCCUGAUGAGAACAAUCUGCAGCUGUUGUUAGGACGGGUGGCUGACCGCCUGGCAUUGCCAUUGGCCGCUUCUUUUCGUUUCGUUUCGUUUCGGCUCUCAUUCAUUUCGAUCACUCUCCUCAUCCAGCUGCUGCUGCUGCUGUUUCUGUCUCUCUCUAAUCUGACCAGGGCAUGUAUAUGGCCAUGCUUGCGACCACUAGUACUACUACUUGUUGAAUAAUGCGGCGAGGAGGAGGGGGAUGGGAGAGAAGCGCCAUGCGUGGCUUCGCUGUCGCUAGGGAUAACGAGAAAGCGUGGUGGUGCUUCUUUUUUUAAGCAGGGAUGGAGGGAGAGAUUCUACCUGUGAUUGGGCUGUUGGUUUUGGCGAUUCUGCCACAGAUAAGGUUGAUGAGAACGCAAGAUAACUUGCACAUCCCAUUGGCCUAUGCUUCUAAUUGACCUUGUAUUAUCAUGGAGGUGACGUCUGUGCACGUUUAAUACUGGCAGUUGCUCGCUUAAAUAUCGCUCUAGGCGUCGGGGUUUAUUGAUGGAAGUUUUGAAGGACAUCUGGUUGCUAAUGCUUCUGAAGUUCCGAGCGGAUUAGGCCAGUCCCAACCCUCUAUCUAAGAUGGUGCCUAUGGCAUUAACUAUAUUGUCAUGUAGAACUCUUAGCUUAUAUGGCACUAUAUUAAUUAAGAGAGAGAGUGAAGAGAGGAAGAAACUGGGUCUCAUACAAGACACAGCUUCAACAUGAGAACCUAUCCACUAGAUACUAUCAAGUUUUGCAUUGGGAAAGAAUAGUGUCUUCAUAAUAGAUGAAGAAUAAAUAUGAUUAGUAGAGAAGUGAGAUGAUGUAUUUAUUAAUGGCCCACUUUAAGAAACCAUGGGUUGUAGAUUGUAGUUUAUAUUGUGAUGUCUUAUUGAUAUGGCACUAUAGACAUUGCUUAUAGACAUUAUGGGUUGAGACUGCCUUUAGUGUACUGAAGCGCUUGGAAUUUUCCAAACAGAAGAGACAAUCUGUUGCCUUCCCUUAUCAGAUCAGCUCACAUGAAAACAUUUGAAGUACUCCCAGUGUGUGUGUGUGACGGGGAGAGCUAGGUGGCUUAUCCCAGCGGAGGUGCAUGAAACUUGGGGUUGUCUUGUUGCUAGAUUUGGACUGGAGUGGAGAGAGUGAAAGCCUGAAAGCGAUCGUUAGCCGGCUGACGAAUUCAUUCCCCUCAUAGAAAAGGGUGACAAGCAACCGACAACAAUACCAGGUGUGCUAAACAGCCUUUUGAGGUUGGGCGGUUGGCUGGCCUGCAUUCACAUAGAAACAGCACACGUCUGAGUUUGAAAAAUAAUUAACGGUAGGAGUAACUAUCUAGCUGCUUUGCAUAUUUCAAUUAUUGUGGUAAAUACUCUGAUUGACAGUGAUAGAUGCUAAAUUAGAGCAAAUUUAUUCACAGUGUUUGACAAGUUAUAUCAAUAUUUAUAUUGCUGAAACGUGACAAAUGAUAAAACGGUGUGAUCACGAGUAGAGCUAUACAACAUACUAGUGAGAUGGGUGAUCACUGAUCAAAAUAAUGAAAGUUCAAUCCUAAAUUACAUUGGAAGGUGGUACAAUAUUGAGGGUUGAUAAAAAAAAAAGCAAAGGAUGAUAUAGGGCAGUUAAACAGUUUAGAGGCCGCUGCACCACCUUCUCAUCCCAAACUUUUUUUAAAACAAAAUCAUGCAAUGUUCACUGCCCGCUUAAAAAAACAAAGUCAAUAGAUAUAGCAGUUAAAAAAAACCACCUCAUCCCCACUUACCACCACCAAUAGGCUCAGAAAAAGAGUGGCUAUGUAACCAUUCAAUAGUUUGCUCUCUGUGAUAUUUCUCCCUUUCUCGUGGUGCACUGUUUCAUCAUUUGCUUGAUUCGAUCCAAUCCAACUCUUUCGAAAGGAUUUGUCCUCCUCAGCCUUCUUUCUUUGGUCCCCGCACAUAUGGCUAUGUUCAUAACUUACUUGUCUAGCAUAUAUGGCUAUGUUCAUAACUUACUUAUCCCGCACAGAAAACAAUGUAACUUAUUAGUGUAUAAAUAAUUAAGUAUUAAUUUUUAAAAAACAAAAAAUAGGUUAUAAUAUUUUUAAAAUAACUUUUUUAUAUAUAACACAUUAUUUAGUAGCUCGAUAAGUAUGCGCGUAGAGAACGAGAAAGAAAAGGAUGUAAAUUCCUAGUUCUGAACGAGGUCGUAAUCCUCUUUGGCUUCUUCUAAUGCUAGUGCAUUAUGUUCGGCGGUAUUUAUUCCCAACACAUCUCUCGUGUUCCGUGCGCACACUUUUCAAACUACUAAAUGAUGUAUUUUUUGAAAAAAAAUACAAAACUUGCUAAGUAUUUUUUAAAAAAUAGAUUGAUAUAAUUUUUAAAAGCAACUUUCGUAUAUAUUUUUUUUAGAAAAAUACAAAAUAUAAGAAUUUAGAAUCGGAUGGAACAUUUUAUAGUAGUAUGAAUAUGAAUAGAUCCGGUCUUAGGUUCUUAUAUUUUGAGGGACGGAGAGAGUAGUUAAUUAUAAGAAAAUAUGUCGCUCUGUUUUGUGUGUGCGGGAGCCGAACAUAGCCUAAUUAAGCAAUGCAGCCAUGGGUGAUGUUGAUGAACUCUAUUUACUACUAUCUUAUCCUAGAAUAUAAAAAUUUGUAGAGUUGAACAUGCUACUAUGAAAGUAAGUAGAAUUAAAUGAGAGAAGAUUGUGAUUGGUUGAAAAAUGGAAGUAAGUGAAGAAAUUGAACGGUGGAAGGUAUAAUUGGUUCGAAAGAGAAUGUUGAUAGAAAAGUUAUUAUAUUUUAGAACAAUUUCUAAAAACCAAAACUUACUAUAUUUUAUAACGGAGGGAAUAAUUACUACCUUCUUACAUGAUCAUUGUCGAUGUCAUUAUAACCUCCUAACUUAAUUUUAUGCGAUGUCCCUAAUGUUGAUGCUAAUUUUCGGAAGUCACCAAUCAAGAGGUGCAAAGUAUGCCCUGAGACGGAUGCUGGGCCUAGAUACUUGGGGUAUAUUUUUGUUUAAAGACGAGAAUGCAUGUGGACAACUUAUAAAUUUUGAGGGUCGUUGUCGGAUAUAUGGGCCCGGGGAUAUGCAAAGUGAGGGAAAUUUAUCUUCCCAUCCAGCCGCGUGGCCCUACAGUCUGGUCAUACCCUUGGACCUCGCGGAUCGCAGAAGCGGCCGGGGGGCCUCGGGGUGCCACGUCAUGCCCCUCGGGCCCUCGUGCCGCCUUGCCCCGAGGCCCUCGCCCAACUGCCAUGUGGCGGGGGGAGCGAGCAGGGAGGGGACCUAGGCUGAACCGCUAUCAAUGCGCGCGGCGCCCCAACUGCCCCUCGCCGCAUUUAAUGUGGUAGGGGCAGACGUGCGGUACCGCCCGACUGACGCACGUCAGUCAGGACUGUCCGGUCUGUGACCGACCUGUCCCCAGACACGACCGAUUGGACGGGCGGCUGUGCCCCCACGUCGCUUCUGUCUCCGGCGGAGUGGAGGUAGGUGUGACCCGUCCCAUCGGAGUGUCAUUCGGAGCUCCCUCCACGAGAGGACCACCCCAAGUCUUCACCCAUUUAUGAGGGAAUGACAGUGUUGUACCCCGUGUCACACGGGGGGCGGCGCUGGGUCCCGCUCAAGGACGGGGUGCGGCUUAGCUUCCAGGCGAAGGCACAGAUCAUGAUUCGUUCAAGGUAGGGUUGGUCCCCACCCCGUAGAAGAGUAGGUAGAGGCGGUGCAUGUGGUAUCCCCUUGAGCUAUAAAAGGAGGACCCUGUCCACCGAGAAAGGGGACGACUCCCAGUAAGCCUGAGCUCUAGGAGAAGAGAAGCGGGAACGCUCUCCGGAGUUUAGGAACCCUUGUAACACUCAACCUUAAUCCCACACACAGGAGUAGGGUAUUACGCUCCAUAGCGGCCCGAACCUGUAUAAUCUUGUCGCGCACACGCUACCUAGCAGCCUUCAGGGCGGAUACGCAAUUUCUAGAGGCAAGCUCCUUCCUCCGGCCGAACUGACAAAAGGGAGAUCUCACGAUCUUCCGCUAGAGAGGAUCACUCCUCGACAGUCGUUAACAUACGCAACCUUUGUCCUAAAAUAAUUACUCCUUCCAUAAAAAAAUUAUAAUCUUAAAGAUGUAUCUGGACAUAUAUAAUGUCCAGAUAUAUUCUAAAAUUGGAACUUUUUUUUAACAGAGGAGUACAUUUGUAUCAUUUAAUCUAAAAAAUGUAGUUUUAUUGAGGUGAAAUACUGCAUUUCUUUUAAUCAAGAAUAGCAAUUAAGUUGGCUUAUGGUCUCAACCUUCCUUUAACCAAGUGUACGUAUGGAAUAUGCGCAUACAAUGCGGCUAUUAAAUAGGAUUAUCAUGGUAAAUUAUAUUUGUUGCUAAUCUGUCUUUAAUUUAUUUUGAAAUGUAAUUAUUUUGUGAUAUAGUAGCACGAUAACAUUUUUCAUACUAGUGAAAGAAAAUUAAACAGGCAUAUGAAUUAAAACUUGUUAGCGGAGGGUCAGCCGGCAUCCAUAUCGAAUUAUCAAUCGGGACUCUAUUACGAGGGUUUAGUGUCCCACGGGGGAUGGUGCAUGCCGGGAUGUCGCACUGCUAGAUUGAAUAAUGUCCCUUGCGCAGCUCUAGCUAGAUCGAUCACGUACGAUCGGUACGUACGCACGCGCCGCGGCAGCUAGCGAUUCAACCGUUCCCCAACCUAUCACGCUUCACGCCUAGGUACACAGAUCAACCUGCGGGCUGAGGGUCGCAUUGGAUCAGCGGUUAUGUAGAAAUUGCAUGUUGCUACUGUAGCGGCUGGCUGCUAUCUAGUCACACCGAACAGGCCCGUAGUAGGUGUCGCCUCCUCCGCGCGCGCGCGCGCCCCACUGUGCAGCGAAACGUGGCUAGACGCACGGCGCACGGCACGGCACGUACGAGAAAGGCCACAGCUAAAGCCAUUAGGUCGAGGAGAACCGCGCUAAAACCCCGCCGAUCUCAUCCGAAUCCAACCAAAGGAAACACCACGCGGCGCACGGCGCACCGCGCACCGGCCGUCCUGCUCCUGCACUGCACCACGCCGAUCGAGAGUAAUCCCACUCGCCCGGACGUGUACGGCGCCCCGUCCCCCCAUCCUUAUCUCGUCGUCGCAAGCCGCGCCCGCGCGCAAGCACGUUUUUCUACUGCGCUAGUAUCCCUCUCCGCGUCCAGUACUAGGUACCCUGCGGCUAGAUCGUUACAUGAGGGGAAGGGUUUUUUGGGCUCAUCCUGCAUGUACAGGCAGCACGCGCGCGCGAGCCCAGCCGCCCACGCAUGUGUUCCUCCCUAUCACCAAAGCAAAUCGUACGCGAGCUUUCGCUUUUGUCCCUUUUGUUAGUUAAUCUACCUACUACUACGAGCUCUUCCUUCCAUCUACUGCGUGCACACGUAAGCCCGUACGUUCACAUCACAUGCUGGAGCCGUCUGUGAACAGAUUAAUCCCUGGAGUUUAUCUGGCUGACAUGGCGGUAGUUAGCGUACAGAUCCAUCAUCUAGACGCUCUAGACUCUAGAGCUCAUCGGUCCUGUGAAUGUGAGCGAUCUGCUAGCAGAAAAGCGUUGGGCUCUAGCUAGCUUUCCGUCAUCGUCGUCGGCAGAUGAGAUCAUUGGGCGCGCCUUGCAUAUUUAACUUGACUCCGGUUUGGUUCAGCGAUUUGUUUAAGACGCACUUUUGACCCGAGAGAUAUGCGGGGUGGUGGUGGUGGUGGUGGUUGCCCUGCUUGGAGCUGUACUUGCGCCAUUUCUUUUCUCCUUUCCAUGUGAAGUUUGUUUUCCACAGACGGAUUCCUAAACAAUGGGGUAGUCUUACAAAUUAAUUCUCUGGUAUUUGGUGUAGUAUAUCAUCAGCCUACUGAUUGACGGUAGCUAGAACACCUUUCAGUUCUGCUUUGUGCGUGUGUACUGGAUCUGUUUGUGAAUCACUUUAAUUUCGGAGUUUCAAUAGACAAUCUUGGAGGAGUUAAUUGUUCGCACGCAUGAACAUGGAGAUUCUCGUGUAGUCUUUUUGACCGGUGACUACAGCACUGUGGCUAGUUGUAGUAGAUAGCACACUGUUCUUGUGGUUGAACAUAACUAGUGUAGUGAUCUGAUGGCCUGAAAUGUAUAUUCUGACUUCAGUUCCCUGACUGUAAUCUAGCGCUGGCGAGCUAAUUAAAGAACGCAUAGGCUCAGCUAGCAUAGUUUGAUUAAGAAGCGCUCUUCUGACUUUUGACAGUGGACUCUGUUUUCUUGUAGUUAAACGAGACUUGGAACAUUUUUUUUCCUAGUUUUGAGAUAUAGCACAUGAGAUUAGUAGGCACUAGUAAAGAAAGACAAGCCAAGGAUCCUAAGAGAUAAUCUGCUGGUGUUUGGACUUUGGACAGCUACACAUGAUGAUAUGGACAUGCACCAAACUAUACACUAGUACUUGUGCGUGUGAAGUACAUGUAUCCGCCACUACCAGCUAAACUAGCUAGUGAGCCAAGUUAGUGCGUCACGCGAGAAACAAUCGAAAACGUGACAGUCACAACAAUAUGGUAAUGUUAAUGUACUCGGAAGUGCCAAUCUAUGGAGCAAAAUGUAGCUAGCUGUUGUUGCAACGAUUGCAUUGGACGCAUCUACCUACUAUCGUAGAACCAAAGCAGUUUUAGUUAAGAUUUCCCAUGACGCAUUCACUCGUCCAGGUACUAGUACAUGUUUAUUUCCUCGUGGUGCAACUAGCUAGGGCCAACGAGGCGAACGUGAACUGUGGUAACUAACCAUUAAUUUGUACAUGUGAGACGGUUCUCUUGAUAAAUCAGAGUCAGAUUCAAACAGUGUAAACACUGUAGGCUCGUUCGUCCCGUCGUACAACGGAUCACAAUAAGCUUUUGUGAAGGGCGCCGACGAGACGAAGAGUGGCUAGUAAACACGUGCUUUUUUUAAGCCUUCUGCACCGGCCGCCCACAUGAAACCUGAUGAUAUAGGAGUAACGAGUGUAAACGACAUGGUUCUCAAAAAAAAAAAAGUGUAACGACAUAGCAAGAACCAUUGUGUUGUCUCGCCAAUCAAUAAUAAUGCCAUGGAGAUGUACGCAGCCCCUAACCCUAAGAUCACACAUGCGCCCACCAAGUUUACUGAAAAAACGCAAACACACAGGCGCGCGCACACAAGUUUAAUUAGGAUUUGUCUUUUUUACAGGCCUGUAGAUUGAAGUUAGUUGUGUACAUUUGUGAAUCGAUAGAUGAUUCCACAUAUAUGUUUGUUAAUGUUUUGAGAAAUUUCCAUAAAUACAGUAUUUGGGUAGCAUGCAAAUUAAAAGAUCGACAAGGACAUGCAUGCACCCCGAGGUGUACAGUAGCCUAGCAUGUGUUCAAGAUGUGUGAAAAUAACCAAAUAAUAAAAGGAUGCACUUCUAGACCAGCUACCUAAAUUAUUUCAACUAGAAAGAAAGACCGCUAAGAUGUGCGAACAAUUUAUUUAUUGAUUAUAAAAAAAUCAAAAAAAGUUAUAUCUCAUUAUAUUCACUAUACGAAUAAUAGAUUAUUUAUAUCAUGAAAAAGAACAUAGACUCUGAUAUACUAAAUGAUAAUAUCUAUUAUAUUCAAACAAAAAAUCACUUUAUCCCAGUUAUGUGUAAACUCGUCUAUCACCAUUCUUCGCAAACAUAUAAGUUAAUAUAUAUUUUUUAUUAUACAUUUGAUCCACCUGUGUAUGUACAUAGGUAAUAUACAAAAUAAUCUAUAUUGCCAAAAUUAUUGUGCUAAUUGUUAAUUAAAAGGGAUAUAAUAUUGUGGCUACCACCUGAGUAACCUAGGUCUCGGUGUUCAAGCAUGAGCGAAGAAUGCAGCGGCAGACGGCAUCGUGGUUGAGCAUGAGUGGAGCAGAUGGUAGCUGGCGGCAUCGGAUCAUGAAUGGGAGGGAGUAGAUGAGGUGAUGACCGUUGAUGUUCGCAAGAGAGCUGGAGAAGAGGAUGCAAUGGUCGACACCAAUGCGGCGAUGCGCUGGAGGUAGCGGUCAAUGGAGGAGGCAGGGAGGUGGUGUACGAGCGUACGAGGGAGAUCGGGAGGUCGCUCAAUCGGAAUCGGGGGAAAGGUUGAUGCAAAAUUAUAAUCUUACCCUCCCACGACCAAAACACGAUUGGUACACUUGCUCUCGCAUGGGCGCAAUAUUUGGACGGUACCGGGCUCUUUGAGCUGUUAGAUCACGCGUAAUUAACGGUCAAGGAUAUGGUACCUUCUCCCCUAAAGGAUUGUAAAAAGCUCCCACACACACAUACACACACAUAUCAUCUCCACAAAUUUGCACAAAUAUUAAAGUACAGGUGAAGUAUGCUCACACUGCUUAUUUAUUCAUCCACUUUCUCUAGGAUUUUUCAUUUUUGUAGUCCACGUUGUAACCAUGAUUCUCAUCCGAACUCCACAAUUUUAAACAACGAACACGCAGCGAGCAAAUUGGCACUUAAAAAAGUAGUUAAAAACAAGGAGGUCAGGUACUCACUCGGGCACAUGCAUUAGAAUAUGAUCCAUUUGUGCCGAAGCCGAACCAGCGUGCCCAUCUGCCCACACCACCGGAAAGGCGGAAAGCAUCCCAAGGGCAACACACGCAUAUCCCACCCCGAAUACCGAGUAAGAUCGCUUGUCCCGUUGCCUUGCCAGCCGCGUACGUGGUCCUCCCCGGCCAGCCAAGCCCAAGUCGACGUUUAUCUCGACGGGCGAUGCGCGCGCCACAAAAUCUCGGCCACCACCCGGCCGCUUUCAAUAGCAGCAACAAAUCAACCUGAUUCUGCCCAUAGGGAGAUAGAGAUCGUCUCCUGUCUAGUACUACUCGUACUACUAGUAUAGUUACUUCUUGGUAGUACAGACGCAAAUGCAUUUGGACACUUCCUUCCUGGAAGCUGCACGAGCCACUGUUCUACUUGGGUGGGUCAGGACUGGAUCAGAGAUAAGCUGUUGGCUUCUGGGGGCAUUGUAUUAUCUGAUUUCUGCCAGCCAAGGGUGAAGAAACAUGGUAAAAAAAAUCAAUUCUGAUUAUAUUUUUUAUGGAAUGGAGGAAGUAGUAAGCAACAAAAUGAUACAACAGUUAAAAUAAAAAGCCGCGACAGCGUACAACUAUAUGGUGAUAGCUUUUCCAUUAGCUCAUACUUUCUCCGCGUCAAAAUAAAGGAACUAGUAUCAAAUUAAACACAACCUAAUACUACAAAAUUUUAAGAUGAAGAGAGUAAGGUUUAUGGUGUUGGUCAAUCAUCAACACAGGAUCACAAUAGAAAGGAGGUUCGACUCCCUCGAUCUCCUUGUAACCUAGCACUUGUGGCUAGAAAGAAACACUCGUAUCAUCAAGGGGAUACUUUUCACAAUGGAGACAGUGGCUAAUCGCAUUGUGUAAGGAGAGUUUUGGGUUGCUGCAUUAUCUAAUCCUCUAGGAGAUCUUUUUUGGCACUUACCCUUUUAUUCCACAAAAAUCCAAUCAUAGCUAUGAAUAUGAACAAGAUUCGUAGCUAGAAUUAGUUUUUUUUAAUGGAGUAGUGGUCAUUGGCUCUUUCUCCUUUUCUCAUUUUUUGCUUGUUGUUCUUAUGAGUCUGGUUCCUUUUCCUAGUCUAUUUAGUGUGUCGGUGUGUCCUUCCUCUCCUUUGUAACCCAUGAUCUACAUUAGCAGGUUGCAGUUACAAAAUUCUUUUUUAUGUUAAUAUGCCAAUGCGUAAGGCUUUUACGAGUUCAAGAAAAAAAAUUACGUGGUUAAAGAAACCAAGGCCCUUCAAUCUUUCAUUUGCCCUUGCCCACUAAAUUUCUUCAGUGUCGGCUUAUUCCUAACGCGCAACUGGUGUUGCCAAUGCAGAUGUAACAAUAGUUCAUGAUGUGUAUCUCUCUCUACUCCCUCCGUUCUUAAAAAAAAAAGGUAAAUCUAGAACUGGAUAUGACACAUUAUACGUACUAUAAUAAAUCUGGACAGAUGUAUAUCCAGAUUCGUAGUAGUAGAUGUAUCACAUCCAAUACUAGAUUGUUUUUUUAUGAGACGGAGAGAGUAUUUCUUAGCGUAGCCGUAAGCCUUUAACUACAGCACCGUCAGCCAUGGAGAAAUUACCUGCAAUUCAGCGGUAGGCCUCGCACCACGCGCUCGCUCACACGAUACUGCAUGCAUUACAUUAUACUCCCUCCAUUUCAGAUUAUAAAAUAUUUUGACUUUAGUUAAAGUUAAACUGUUUCAAGUUUGACUAAGUUUAUAGACAAAUAUAAUGAUAUUUAUAAUAAUAAAUUAGUUUCAUCGAAUCAAUAAUUGAAUAUAUUUUCAUAAUAAACUUGUCUUGAUUGAAAAUGUUACUAUCUUUUUCUACAAACUUGGUCAAAAUUAAAACAUUUUGAUUUUGACCAAAGUUAAAACGUCUUGUAACCUUAAACAGAGGGAAUAGUAUUCUCUUCCUAAAACUCAACCUAAAUACUCCCUCCGUUUCGUUUUAUUUGACACCGUUGACUUUUUAGCACAUGUUUGACCUCUCGUCUAAUUCAAAAAAAUUAAAUAAUUAUUAAUUCUUUUCCUAUCAUUUGAUUUGUUGUUAAAUAUACUUUUAUGCAUAUGUAUAGUUUUACAUAUUUCACAAAAGUUUUUGAAUAAGACGAACGGUCAAACAUGUGAUAAAAAGUCAACGGCGUCAGAUAAAACGAAACGGAGGGAGUAUGAUGUCACCUCCCCGCAAAAAAAAAUGAUGUCACCUAUCUUCAGGUUAAGUUUUUUUCCUUUUUUUUUAAAAAAAAAGGAAUGAAGGAAGUAAUUUGCAUUGACCCGAUCAUCUGUCGCGCGCGUCAACGCCGCCUCUUAACUCGACCGAUGUGUGCCAUGCGCACAACGGAAAAUCGGUGACCGCUUACAAUGCACCAGUCGUCGUUGCCCCAGCCGAUCACUCGCUCGGUCACAUGACUAGAGUGGCACAGCUGCACGUAUGUGUGCUGUGUGAAGCGAGUCAGGAGUCAAAGUCUUCGCGAUGCCACUUGUUCUUCUUGAGAGUUCAGGAAGAGCAGUUUCCAUGUGAUUUCGCCUCUAUAGUACGGUGAUUCUUGACCUCGGAAUUCGUGAGGGUACUAUUCAGUCUCGGUGCACACAGCGGAUGAUCGUGGGAAUGCAAAGCUAGCAAACUGCUCUGUCACAUGCCAGCAAUGUCAUCCCAAGUAUUGCAUCAACAAACACUCCCACAUUUCUUUCACGUGAUCCUAGCGUAACGAGCCGCGGACCGUCGUUUCUGGAACCACCUGUUUAAAUAUAGAUAAAAAAAAAACUAAUUACACAGUUUAGAUGUAAAUCACGAGACAAAUCUUUUGAGUCUAAGGGGGGUGUUUGGGAGAGAGGGGCUAAACUAAACAUAAGUCUCUAAGGGAGGGACUUAUACUUUUGUGAGAGGGACUAAUGUUUAGUCCCUAGUUCCUAAACACCCCUUAAUUAGGCCAUGAUUAAACAUAAAUGCUACAAUAACCCACAUGUGCUAAUGGCGGAUUAAUUCGGCUCAAAAGAUUCAUCUCGCGGUUUCCAGGCGAGUUAUAAAAUUUGCUUUUUUUAUUCGUGUCCAAAAACUUCUUCCAACAUCCGGUUAAACGUCUGAUGUGACACUCAAAGAUUUUCAUUUCACCAACUAAACAGCCCCUCCUAAGCAGGUAAACGUGCAAGACCUGGUAAAAUGAUAUUCCAUCCGUCCCAAAAAAAAUUAUUAGGACAGUAAUUAAUCGGACAGUGAAACGGACUACUAACCUGUGGCCGUCUCCAGACCAGCUGUCAAUCAUAAGAGCUGUCCGUCCUACGUGGAGGACGUACUAGGCAGCCGCCGUGCUUGAACAGACUAGUUGACUUGGAUCCAACAGAUAGCUCACUUUUACUGGAAUCAUCUAGCUUUCCCAAAAUUGUCAGCAUAAUUCUUAGCUUUCUCAUUUCCGCCGUCAAUUACUGGUAAUUAAGCAUGCAUGGGAAUGCAGAUGGGAAUGCCAGUGAGAAAACAUGCAUGGCGACAUCACAACAUGAAAGCGAAGUCUGCUGGGAUCCAAUCAUCUUUCCAUUUGGUGGGCCAAAGUAGCGUUCACCGUUGGAUAGUUAGCAGAUUGUUAUAAUUACUCCUGUUGUUGUGAAGAGACCACAACAGAAGUCAGAAAAGAAGGGAAUUAAUCUAAGUUGUGGUUGAUCAUCGCCGUCAGGCUCGAAGCAAAAUGGUACUACAUCCAAGUAUCAUUUUCCAUUUGGGUUUCGUCUCCACCUCCAAAUCUCCAAUGUACUCAGUGGACAUGCGCUGUUACUUUCUUCGUGCCUUUUGUUUGAUAAUUUCUUCAUGCUAUCUUUUUUACUAGUCCCGAUAGCUUUACAGUUCAAUAAACAAAUUUCAUUAUACUCGAAUUGGCUGAUUUUGACUGAGAAAAAAAAUAUAGGGGGUGUUUGGAUCAUAUGGAUUUUUUUUAGCCCACCCCUUUUAGCCUUAAAAUAGCUCAAGGGGAUCCAAACAUGAGAGCUAUUUUAGGGCUAUUUGCAAAUAGCCCACCCCAGAAAAUUAUCACCCCCAGGGGUGCUAAUUGGGGCUAUUUGCUGUGGGCCCCACCGAUUCCCACUUUCCCCCACUUGUGCCGGAUCCAGUUGCGGCAGAAAUCGUCGCUCUCACCCCUCGCUCUCGCCCUCGCUCGCUCUCCAGAACCCUCGCCGCCGCCCAGCCCAGCUUCGCCUCCCCCUCCCCCCACCCGCGCCGCCGCCCGGCCCCAGCUUCGCCUCCCCCUCCCCCCACCCGCGCCGCCGCCCGGCCCUUCACCCGCGCCGCCCUCUCCCUCGAAUCGCGCCGCCCUUCCUUCAGAUCCACCGAGAGGCAUCCACGCCGGCGACUCACCCCACCCGCGUUGCCGGCCAUCAGAUCCGUCGUCGACGCAUCGCCUUGCACCGGAUCCGCGCGGAGAUGGACCCCAACGGCUUCGAUUUCUUCUCCCAAGAUCCCAUUUCGUCCGCCGCCGGCAACAUUUGGUCGUCGCAGCCGUCGGCGUCCGGCCCUUCCCACGGAUCCGUUCCCCGCGCCGGCGUGGACACGCUGGACCUCAACACCCAGGCGGCGUCGGGCCAGGAGUUCCCUCACCUCCACGAGUACGGUGCCUUCCUCCAGGGUGGCGGCGAGGAAGGAGCUGGCCGCGGCCGAGGCUCCGGUCUCCCUCCCAUCCGUGCACCACGCUCUCUGGGAGUGAGGGCUGGUCGAGGGGGCGCCGGGCCAUCUCGUGCUGCACCGCGUGCCCGCCAGCUCAACUUCGGCGCGGUAGGUGGCCGUGCUGGACACGGUGGAAAUGGUGGGUCGUCGUCGGGCAUCGGCGGCGGCGGCCCUGGGCGAGGCAGCUCCUCAUCAGGGGCAACGGGUCGCCGUCGGCAGCGCGCCAUGGCAACCAACCGUGGCCGCGACCGCGGACGUGGGGGCCGCGGUUGGCGUGUGCCGAGGAGUGUCGGCACCCAGGAAGCACCCAUCGGCGAUUACGUCGACCUUGACGAAGAAGGUGCAUGGGACGAUGAGGUGGAGGAAUUAGGCAGCUUCGGCGGCCCUCCGGUGAGCAUUGCUGACCGAGCUAACUGGACUGAUAGGAAUAAUAGUAUUUUGUUAGCAUUGUGCAUAGAGCAAGUAAGAGCAGGCCACUACAAUGGUAGCCAAAUGAAUUCUGAUGGCUAUAAUGCUAUAGCCGAGGGCUACCAUGCCAAAACUGGUUUGAUGCACAGUCGUCUGCAGCUAAAGAAUCAAAUUGGGAUUCUCAAGAGCACGUACUCCUUCUGGCGUUACUUGCAAACGCACACGGGCUUAGGAAGAAAACCUGAUGGAACAGUCGAUGCUGAUUCUGAUUUCUGGAGUAGUCACAUAGAGGUACUUUUCUACCAUUUUUUUUAUUGCUGAUCAUGUUUUUUUGGGUUAUUAUCUGUCUGCGUUUAGUGUUCUUAUGUUUGGAUUAUUCUUGCAGGGCAAACCUUACCUGAAGAAGGUGCUUAAAGGACUUCCAGCAAACUUGGAUCAGCUUGAGGAGAUGUUCAGUGGCAGUACUGUCGAUGGUAGCACUGCUUUUGCUGCCGGUGAUGAUUUCGGUGAGGCACAAGAAGGGGCUGAAGAUGAGUGGGCAGAAGAAACAGAGGAGUUCCUGCAAACUCCUCAGAGUACAAGUAGCCAGAAGAGCAAGAGGUCCCUCGACAGCACUACCAGCACAUGUAGCACUCCAGUGAAGAAAAGCAAAAGCCCCAUGGUUAAGUAUGUGAAGGACAUAUCCAUGUCAUUCAAGGAGGCCAUGCAAAUCAACAGCCAGGAAUUGAGGAAGCGUACUAUUGAGAAGCAGGCUGCUUCAGUGAGAAAUUGUAUGAAGAUGGCCUUCGAGUGUGGAAUUGAGCAAACCACUGAGAAUAUUUUUGCAAUGUCCAAGAUGUUUGAGAAUCCCUACCAAAGGGAGUUCUUCGUUGGACUACCAAACCAUGAGCUUAGGUUCAACUACUUCAGCAAAUGGAGCAGGGAUAACAACCUGGUUUAGUUAGGCACCUCUUUUAUGUGGUCCGUUUGUUGUGUCCAGGAACCGUUUGGAGCUUUUGUUAUGUGCUGUUAAUUUGAACCUCCUUUAUCACUUUUGUUAUGUGCAGUUCGACUUUGCAGCUGUUAAUUUGAUGUUAUGGAAGUAUUAUUUGGGUUGUUUGUGUUGCAUCGAUGAACUUAUUCACAUAUUUUGGCUACUUUCAAUCAUAUAUGUCUGAAUUCAACCUGGCAUCUGUUUGUGAUGCAUUCAAUCAUAUAUUUGUACUGCAAUGUGCCAUUCUGUCAUUCUUUUGGGCUCUUAUCUAUUUGUGCUGCAAUAAUAUUACCUCUCUGUCAUUUAUUGGACAGAUGGAUGUGGAGCAACAUGGUGAUGGAGAGAUGGCCGAAGAGGAAGAGGUUUUUGAUGAAGGAAGCACAUCGUCAAGUGAUGAUGAGAUUAUUUCCAUGUGCCGCAAGAAUAUGAACAUGGCUCAAACUAUGGUUGCUCAACUUGUCCCUAUCCUUGGUAUGUACUCCGAGCACUACUUUGUCAAACUACCAAAAAGAGUGGCUCUUGAAUCAGGUAUCCAAUGGGUCCAGAGGACUUUAACCCGAGAAAAUUCAUGCUAUAACAUGUUUAGGGUUGAGAGGCAACUGUUUAAUAGGCUGCACAAUAUUUUGGUUGAGUCUUAUGGGUUGCAGUCCACAACAAAAAUGUCAUCUGUAGAAGCUCUAGCCAUUUUUUUGUGGAUUGUUGGUGCACCACAGUCAAUUAGACAGGCUGAUGACCGUUUGGUUAGAUCUUUGGAGACAAUUAGCCGGACAUUUAACAAAGUUUUGCGUUGUCUCCUUAGGUUAGCACCUAACAUAAUUAGACCAAGGGACCCUGAAUUUUCUGAGUUGCACCCUAACUUAGAAAACCCAGAUUUUUGGCCAUACUUCAACGACUGUAUAGGAGCAAUAGAUGGGACACAUGUGAAGCUUGUGGUGCCAAAGACGAAGAGAAUACAAUACUUGAAUAGGUACAAUGAAACCUCACAGAAUGUAUUGGCUGUUUGUGAUUUUGACAUGAGGUUUACCUUUGUGCUAUCGGGAUGGCCUGGUUCAGCACAUGAUAUGAGAGUGUUCAAAGAUGCAACGACAACUCAUGCUCACAAAUUUCCACAUCCACCACAAGGUAAAGUAAUGCAACUUUUGUUUCAAAUCUUUCCAUCAUUUUAACUUGUACCUAUAUGCCUCAUUGUGUGCUUGUAUAUGCAGGGAAGUACUAUGUGGUUGAUGCGGGGUACCCAAACCGCCCGGGCUACCUUUCACCGUAUAGAUGCACUAGGUAUCAUGUGGAGCAAUGGAAAAACGGGCCCCCGCCACAAGGUAUGAAAGAAACCUUUAACCAUGCACAUUCCCGGAUUAGGAAUGUCAUAGAGCGGUCUUUUGGUGUGUUGAAGAUGAAGUGGAGGAUGUUGUUGGACAUGCCAUCGUUUUCGGAAAAAAAACAAACUAGAAUAAUUGUUGCUUGCAUGGUUCUUCAUAAUUUCAGUCGAGAGAGCAAAAUUAGGGAUAGGGAAUUUGCUAGGUGUGAUGCGGAUGCAGAUUAUUUUCCAAUGCCUACAUCACCUCACUCUGACUGGCCAGAAGAUGAACCUCUUGUUGAGGAUAGCAACAUGAAUUUCUUCCGCGAUGACUUGGCAAAUGCUUUGUUUAAUGGAUUGUAAUUUUUUUUUACGGUUUGAGGACUUGUAUAUUUAUGUGAGACAAUUGUUGUGUGGACUUUAAUAUUUAUGUGAGACAAUUGUUGUAUGGACUUUAAUAUUUAUGUGAGACAAUUGUUGUAUGGAUUUUAAUAUUUAUGUGAGACAAUUGUUUUAUGUAAUUGUAUAUUUAUGUGAGACGAUUAUUGUAUGGAAUUGUAUCUUUUAUGUGACACGAUUGUUUUACAUACUUGCUUAUAUAUUUGAGACAAAUUAUGUGUUUGUGCUUGUAAGGAAUUGUGUAUGCUUGUAUGUGCCUGUAUUGGAUUAGCCAUAGAAGAUCCGGCUGCUGUAUACUUUUAGUGGAGGCAAAUGAUUGGGAUGGUACAAUAAUAGCUAAAUAGCCUUUGGAUCCAAACAGCAAGAGGGCUAUUUUGUUAGGGGGCUAUUUUGGUGGGAUAAUCUUUAGCCCAAAAAAUAUCCCUGGGAUAGUUCUCCAAACAGGCCCAUAGGAACUUUUUCAGUGGAAGUCUCGCCCAGAAAAGGAAAAGAAAAAUAAAAAUCAAAGGCAGCUUUAUGGCUUUAUAAGAGCAAGGGCAGAUAAACUUUAGCUAGCCUACUCGAUAUACUGCUAUAUUUGCAUGGUAUCAUGUUUGAAGGGUAUAAAGUGUAACAACUUUGCUACAAGCCCAAUAGCAUGGUCAAAGCCCACAAUAUGUCAUAUCCAGAGAGAACAAGUCUACAUUGACUCCCUCAACUUAUGCCCCUGGUUGAAUCGCAUCCCUCAACCUCAGGGUUUACGAUUCCGACGAAAUCCGGUCGGAUUUCGCGAAAUUUCGACGUUCCAACGAGGCUCGAAAGUAGAAACCGUUUGAGAUUCCGAGGAGUUUCAUCUAAAUUUAAAUUUAAAUUGAUAAAAAAGAAAAAAUAAAAUAAAAUCUUAUAAAUACUAUGGUAUUCAUAUAACUUAUUGGGAUAUAAAUUUAUGAAAAAAAAGAUGUAUUAUGUGUAUUUACUAAAACUUACAUAAUGAAAAAAAAAUUCAGAAAAUUACCUCUAUUACAAAUUAAUGAUCGAAAUUUCGAUGAUUUCGAUCAGAAUUUCGCCAAAACCGACCGAUUUUCGAGAACUUGUCGGCAACUUAGGGAAUUUAUAUUCAAAUUUUGGUUUAUAAAAUUUGUUCGGAAUUUACCGAUUUUCCACCGGAUUUCGCGAAAUUCCGAAUUCCGCCGAUGCCCGGAACGGAAGGGCCUGUCGGAAUCGUAAACCUUGCUCUACCGCAAAACCGAUACAACCCAUCCUCCAACUCAUAAGACCGUUGCAAAUCGACUCCUCGAACGGUUUGGGAGGUGGUUUCGUCCAAUGUGGCAUCUUUGACCCCGUUAACUAGCUGAGUUAGCACAUGGACCCCAUAUGUCAGUGUCUUGUAGACAGUGGCAGUGCCUGGUGGUGGUGCGCGGCGGUGGCCAUGCGUGACGGCAAACGAAGGUGCGACAGCGGAAAUUGAGGGCACAAGCGAGAAGAGGGGAACACGACGAUCCUUACUGAUGCAAUUACGACGGCAAGCGGCAACAAGCUUGAAAAGGCGGUGGCCUCGGGUUGAUGUCGACGGCGGCGCUCCGGUGAUGUCCAAGUGAAGCGAAGGUGCAGUUGAGAUUCUCUUUCGUCUUACGAACCAAACAGUGAUGACGACGGACGUGGUGGCACGGUUGGCUCGGCUGGAGCGGUGGCCUUCGGCGAAGAGUGCGCAAGGAGGCGGCUAGGGCAUGGGACGAGCUCGGACUAGGGUUAGAAUCGGAAGAGGGGACCUUAGGCAAGCUAUAUAUAGGUGGAGGAGAAAGAGACCGGGCUAGAAACAGAUGGAUUCAGUGGCGAAAAACUAGGGUUCAUCCUGAGUUCUUCGGGAUUAGAACGGGGCCGAAAUUCACGGGAUUUAACACAAUAUUGAUGGGGUUUUCUUGGGGGGAAAGGAGAGGAAAUCGAGAGAAAUCCGUUUAUGCAACUAAUUUGGAAGGAAAAGCUCGUUCAACUGGUUGAGGCGACAACGGCAUGGAGCUAUAGGUGUCGAUCGAGGGCAGCGAGAUCUACAGGUUGCCACCUUCAUUUGCCCUCCUUGGAAGUUGGAUCCCCAGCGUUAGACAAGCUCACAAGCCACUGCCACCCAUCUCCCUCAACUUGCUGCCGCUCGAUGGCUACUGUGCCCGUCUCUGGGUGCCAAAACAACGGAGUCCCCAACUCCCACCCUCUGUUGCCGGACCACCCUAUUAUCUCGCCGCUGCCAUGCUGCCAUUUUGCCGUCAUGAGGAAAUAUGGGUGAGAGAGUGAGGAAAUAUGGGUAAGGAAAUGAAGAGAAGAAAGAGAAGGGUGACUGACAAAUGGUUCCAUAUGCUAAGUCAACCGAGGUAAACAUGACACCUUUGUAAAAACUGCUUUGAAGCCACUGAGGGAGUCAAAAUACAUUGAUUUUAAUAGUUGAGGGGUUAAGAUAUCCGGUAUUACAGUUUGGGGAUACGAGUUAGAUUAUACAUAUAUUUUGAGGGACUCAAAGUGGACUUAUUCCUAACCAAUAUAUGGUAGGAAUAAGUUCACUUUGGGUCCCUCAAAUUAUUGUCGAGUCGUCCCUCAAAUUAUUGUCGAGUCUGAAAUUCGUCCCUAUACCAAAAUACCAGAUAUAACGAGUCCCUCACAAUUUACAAAACCGGAUCAUAUGAGGUCCUAGGCAGUAUUUACGUCUGGUUUUAGCUGACAUGAUAAGCUUAGUUAGCAUGGGACCCACGCAGGCCCCAACACUCUCGUCCAAUGGUUAACACUCUCGUCUUCCUUUUCCCUUCUCCCCAUCUCCUCUCCUCUCUCUCCCCUCUUCGGCAACAAUGGCUGACUCGGUUGAAUAAAAGUUGGCUCCGCGCCGGUGGAGCCUCGCGGGGCGCUUGACGAGCCCGGUCACCUCCACGAUCCUUGUCGACCAGUCCGCCUUGGGCACGGCGCCGUGGUUGCACACGUAGUGGACUGGCGUCGGCGUGAUGAAACCGUCAAGCAUGAGGCACGGCAGCAGCGGCUCGGAGUUAAAGGGGUGCUUGCCGGUGAGCCAGACGAGCACCGGGUGCCGACGCACCCACGCGUCACUGCGUCAGAGGUGGCCUCGUCGCAUGGGUCAUUGACGGGAGGCUCCACCUCGAGGCGCGAGUGGUACAACUACCUUCAGUCCGGUGGUAUGUCGUCAUCGUCGUCGGAGUCGGUCUUGGAGCCCAACCGACGGUUGUCGCCGGUGGAUGGGAACAAGUCGAUGUUGCUCGACGACUCAUUGCUCGCCACCAUGGAACAGCUUGACCGUGGAGUUCCCCGUCACGUUGGUUUGCGCGGGCAACCAACACAAGGAGCAGAACAUGGUGCGCCAGACCGUCGGCUUCAACUGCCAGCGCCAUCUCAACCUUCGUGUGGCGUGGCGCGCAUCUGCGUGACGUGCUGCGGCGGAGCGGGGUCAUGGGUGCCUCCCCACCUCGCCCGGCCGCCGCGCGCCACCCGCCUCUCCUGGCCGUCGCGCGCCCGCCCACCUCUCCCGGCCGUCGCGCGCCGCCCUGCCCGGCCGCUUCGCACCGCCCUCCUCUCCCGACUACCGCGCGCCGCCUAGCCUCGCCCGGCCUGGAGAGAGGACAAAGGAGAGGGGAGUUGGGGAGAGAGGAGGAAGAAGAGGAGGGGGUAAGAAUGACAUGUGGGGCCCAUAUGGGUCCCACCAUUUUUGAAUGAAUUUUUUUGGUGUAACUGACAUGUGGGACCACAAAUAGCAAUUUUCCAAAUAAAAAUUACCGCGUAAGCGCCACGUCACUAGCUACGUCAUAUGAAAACCGAGUCAAAUUAGCCACGUAGGCACCACGUCAGUGAAAACCGCCAUAGGACCUAUAUUGCACCGGUUUUGAUAGUUGAGGGACCCUUUAUAUCUGGUUUUCUGGUUGAAUGACCUAUAUUGCACCGGUUUUGAUAGUUGAGGGACCCUUUAUAUCUGGUUUUCUGGUUGAAUGGUUGAAGGACGGAAAUCGGAUUCACUGACAAGUUAAGAGACCUCCGAUGAACUUAUUCCUAUAGAGUACUAGUAGUAUAAGCCCACUAACAUGGUCAAAGUGUCAAAGCCCACAAUAUGUCUGACUGGUUAGAACUAAGGUGACAUGGAACAGAUAGCCCAAAUCUAAAGAAUUCUACAAUUUGUGAAGCUGGAUUCAGUCCAACAACUCAUUCCUCGGUUCCUCGCCUUGACAAUUAACAUAGGGAAGGGAAGGAAUCAACUAUCAGUAAGAGGGUUAGCAGAAGACUCCAUAGCUCUAGCUCAAGUGACGGACAUUGUUGAGAUAACUGCAUCUCCUCCUUGUGUGCCCUCAACAGACAACCGUUUUGCGAAAGGAAAGUGGAUUCAGACCAACGAGGACCUGACUUUUAUGUGGUAAUAACAGUGGCUUCAGAUCAACGAGGACCUGACCUGGUUAGCAAAUAUUUCGCUUCCCCUUGUGCAGUUCACGACUCACAGCGAAGAUAAACUAAGUCUACCAUCGUAUCAUGCUCACCGAAGUUCUGUAGACUGACGAGAAGGCCUUCGACUUUUAGCAGAACAAACAGUUGUGAGUAUUAUACAAGAUUGUGUGUCUUGAUUAAGAAACAAUAUACAAUGUGCCUAUGUUCUGAGUAAGACAUGCAAAGCAAACUUGCAGUGAUAAACACGUAACAAGGAUAACUAUUGGGUCUAUGGGGGCAAUGUAGUCUCCAGUGAGGAACGUAGCAUCCGGUUUCUGAUGGGAAACCAUUAUUACCUUUACUGUUUUAGGCACAGUAAACUGAAGUGGAAGCCACAAACAACCAAAUUAAGGAAGAGUUAUGCAAACACUAAAUGGUACUCCCUCCAUUUUUAUUUAGAUGACGUUGGUUAGUUUCAAUUUGAACUAACCAACGCCAAAUAAAAAAAAGAGAGGUAGUAGUAGUAGUAAGUUACAGGGAGACGAAACUCAAUGUUAUCCAAUAUCAUAGGGUAUAAAAACUCCAACUCAGAAUCAAGCUGAAAGGCUAUACUAGAAACAUUAUGCCGUGAUGAUAAUAACUCAAAAAGAUCAAUCUCACAUUUUAUUUGUUGUCACAGGAUAUUCAAACCACCUAGAAUGAUUGGUCAGUUUGUAACACAAUCUAGCUUAAAGGCUUAAAGCUACUAAAUGGAAAGACUGUGGUACUGCAGUCAACCUAUAUGACAAUCUAUUCAGAAAUAGUGAUAGGUCCAGCACACUAGAGAUUUUACAGUUUUAACCGAACUAAAUUUAGGAUAUCCACUUAUAGUUUACUCUGAACAUGGAACAUUGCUAUGUAGUUCUAAUAAAACUAUUUUCUUAUAUACUUACAACGGUGCUAUAUAACACUUGCUGUCUUGAGAACAAGGAUUAUAUUAUGCUUUUCAGAAAAGAAUUCUUGACUAACAAAACUAAAGCGAUUUGCAGCAACUGAAAUGUUUAAUAAAUUCUAUCAGUUCAGACUUCAAACCAUGCAACCAAAGAGGGUUUCUUAUUGUCAUUGACAAUUUGACAGACAAUAGUGAGUAAAAGCAAUCGGAAAGGCAGUCACAGGUAUCCAUUCGAAACAAUUAUUCAAUUAAGUGCUAGGGCAUAACCACUUAUUGUCAUAUUAUAUGAUACAUAUAUAAAGUACAAGGAACAGCUCUAUCCACUUAUGUGUAUAGUUAGAAGAGCCUCAAAACCUAGUACUACAAAUUAAAGAUUACUGUGACACACCAAGUUCAUCAACUGCAGUUGAAUAAGAUGCAGAAAAAGGAGUUCAUGGUGACAAUAAGCAAGAUAACGGCCAUGGGGGGUUAACUAAAGCUCAGAUCUUACCAUUCAGCUUGUUCUGGAGAACAUCCAUCACAGAAGCAAAGUCAGCCUUCACAUUGAUUGGUGGAUUAGCGUACUGGCACAGCAUGUCCUUGAUGUUCCUGUCAUGGUAGUCUAUCUUCGAUUGUGUGAACUUAAGCCCAUGCGCUGUACUAACAACCACUGUGCGGUCAUUAGGCCCGAUUAUGCGCUGGUCUCGAAGCUUGAACAAAGCAGCAAGUGCAACCCCGGUGUGUGGGCAGGCAAACAUUCCGGUGCGGUCAGCAAGUGACAUUGCAUCCAUGAGUUCUUCCUCCGUAGCUUCCUCAACAAUACCGUCAGUUGCCUUCAGGGCGACCACUGCACGGUCGACAGAUACUGGAUCACCAAUCUGUAUGGCAGAUGCAAAUGUAGUUUCGGCUACACGUGGCUGGAAAUCAGUCCACCCUGACUUGUAGAACCGAUACAACGGAUUUGCGUUUGCAGCUUGUGCGCAUACAAGACGCGGCACACGAUCAACAAGCCCAAGAACACGGCACAUCUCAAACCCCUUGUAGAAGGCAUAGAUAUUCCCAAGAUUGCCUCCUGGAACAAUGACCCAAUCCGGCACCUGCCAAUCGAACUGCUGCAAUAUCUCGAUGGCUGCCGUCUUCUGGCCCUCAAGCCGAAGGGAGUUCAGCGAGUUGGCAAGGUAAAUCGGUAGCUCGGCGGUCACCUCCCUGAUGAGCCGCAUGCACCCGUCAAAGUCCGUGUCCAGCGAGAGCACGGUGGCGCCGUUGGCGAUUGGCUGGAUGAGCUGCUGCAGAGAGAUGCGGUCGGCGGGGAGGAACACGAUGGCGGGGAUACCUGCGGCGGCGCAGUACGCGGAAAGCGCGGCGGAGGUGUCGCCCGUGGACGCGCAGCCGACGCCGUUGAUGGGGCGUGAGAGCGGCGCGCGGCGGAGGCGGUUCACCUGGCUGACGAGCACCGUCAUGCCGAGGUCCUUGAAGGAGCCCGUGUGCGAGAUGCCGCAGUGCUUAACCCAGAGGUCGGUCAUCCCGCCGAGGUGCUCGCGGCCGAGGCGCUCCGCCCAGAAGAGGUUGGAGUUGCCCUCGAAGAGGGAGACGAUGUGGUCGGAGUCGAUCUCCGGGAGCACGAACUCCUUCUUGGACCACACCCCGGAGCCGUAGGGCCACGCGGUGCGCCCCACGCGGGAGUCGAAGAGGUCGCGCCAGUAGGAGCCCGGGAAGCGCGCGAGCGCCUCCAUGUCGUGGCACACGUCGAGGAGCCCCCCGGAGCUGGAGCGGUAGACCACCUCGUCCAGCGAGUAGCGCUCGUCGGGGUCGUCCUCGGGCGUCGGGGGGAACGGCACGUACCACGCCGAGAAGUCGUUCCCGGGGCCGCGGAGCCGCGCGGCCUCCUCCCGGAUGUUCUCCUCCGCGGGGCGGCGGUGCCUCGUGGCCGUCGUGGCGGCGUCGGAGGCGCAUCGCGCGCGGUGGGGCGCGGCGCGCAGCGGGCGGCGGAGGUGAGGCCCGCCGGCGAAGGGCCUGGGGUUGGACGAGUGUGGGUGGGCGAAGAGGAGAGAGAGGGACGACGCGGUGGCGGUCGCCAUGGCGGAGGAGGCGAGGUGCUUGGCGGCGGAGGAGGAGGGGAUGGGGGGAGUAAUUAGGGAGGAGGAUGGGUGACGUGGAUGGGGAGGUUUUAGGCUUUAGGGGAGGGAUGAUUCGAUUGAUCUGGACGUUAAUUGGGCGCGCAGCCGUUAGGAGGCCGACAGGUGGGGCAGAUUCUUUGUGAUGGUAUAUUUGCGUUUAGUUUUUUUACUCUCUCCGUGAGCUUAAAUCCAAAUACAGUAACAGUAGUCAAGCUAGUUUUGGCUUGCUACUAAUGUAGAUACCAUGUCAUCUAUAAAUAAUGCUAAUACCAUGGACAACAAUCGCAAUUUUGCAACAUUCAUAUUCUAUAUACUCCCCCAUCCCAAGAUAAAUGUAAUUUUAAAUUUAACUUUUAUCCUAAAAUAAAUACAAUCCCACAUAUUACUUGCUCACAUUAAUUAAUCGCAUUACAUCUCAAAAUUUUCUCCAUCAUACCUUCAAUUACCCUCUCAGUCCCUACCAGCUCUUAUUUAAUAGGGAUACUUAGGUAAUCUCUCUAUUAUUUUCCUCACACACUUUUUAAAAAUAUACUUACAGUGGAACAGAGAGAGUAAGCAACUUCAUGCAAAAUUGGUCGUGAAGCAUCGGAAGAUCAUUAUUUCAAUCUUAUAGCACUAAGAAAAAAAAAAUCCCGAUUCACUUUUUAUGAAAUGAUCCGGUUCCCUUUAAUGGAUAUUGCAAGGCUCAAUUAUCGGUUUUCUUCCAUUUAGAUCGAUAAACGUGUACUCAUUCUAAAAUUGCUUAUAUUUAUGGAUGUAGGUAGCAGCUUACUGUUCGCAUUCCAUUCAUAUUGCAUUGAAAUUUUAGCACCUUAGGUGCUGGGGUCGACUCCCCAUGGGAGCAAAUUUUUCAGGAUUUAACGGUAUUGUGCUUUCAGUAGUAGGCGACGUGCCCGUCGACAGUGAGACGCCUAAAGUGACUUCACCAAUCUCUAGGAUUUGAUUUGCUGGUCCAGUCUUUGAAGAUGCUUAUAGGGGUAGGGUUUGCGUACAAGGGGCGGAUAUACAGUAGAAGAAGGACCGGUGUCAGGCGACACCGACGACUUUUGGCAAAACUAUAGCAAAAUUGUUUACCCAUAUGUUAUAACACCAUAAUCUAAGCAUGAUUAGCAUACUAUAGCACCGAUAGACACAUUAUGACACCAACGAAUCGAUUUCCUGAAUCCGCCACUGUUGCUUACGCGUUUUUAUAGGGGUGAGUAUGCGUGCAUUGUGAGUGUCUGUUGUACUGUGUAUUUCUUUUAAAAAAAGUGAAUAUCCACUGAGCUGUACGCUAUCCUCCAUUUUUGGGACAAGAGCGAACUACCAUCGCAUAUUUGGAACGUGGAAAAUCGAGAUCGAGAGGACAACGUCAUGCAAAAUGAUUUUGGAUGGAUAGUAACUACGGGCUGGAGGAAUCGUCGGGGACCCCACCAGAGCCGCUGCAGCACUGCUCCCACACAAGAUCACCAUAUCUCUGAAAAUGGACGCGAUUCUACAUUUCUACGCAACAAAUAGUGGCGAAAGCGAACGGCGGUUCAGCAGCAUAUUCCAGCGGUCCAGCCGGCUCCUGCCGUGCUGCAAAACAAUAUCUUGUGCCGCCGUUGCUACGGGUUUAUGAGCUCAUGGCGUGCAGCGGCCUUGCAAGAACAAGAGGAGAAUGCACCCGGUAUGGCUCAAUUCAGUGUGUGCAAGUAACAACGUAUUCAAAUGAGUGAUUACUUAAUCAACACUUGUAUAUACAUAUAGAAAGUGAGACAAGGUACUGUGGAACACUGAAAUCCUGUUUAACAGUAUGCUGACGAUUUCCAAAGUAUAGAUUACCAAGACAAAAAGGCUUCUCUCUCUCUCUCCCCCUACCAGGUCACCAAAUUACAGUGCUACAAUUGUUUUUUGAAAUCAAUACAAGGCUACAAAUGUAAGGAACAGAAGUACGCAUGUAGUGUGACGUCUCUAACUUCCCUGUAUUUAAGCUGCUGGUGAAAAUCACCGUACCAAGUUGCUGCAGCUCAAAUAAUCUCUUCCGUCCUCGGGAGCUCAGGAUUUCCUGAGAGUAAAAUGACCACCAUGUGUGCAAGUGUCUACUGGAUAGGAAACAUUCAGAUCUGACAUAAGAAUCUUUAUGUUAUAAGAAUAAAUUGAACACUUUAUCAUCUAUUCAACAUUUCAGAGGACUGUGCGGUGUUCACAUAAGUUGCGCUCUUGUUGAAUCCCUCAAGUGCCAUUAUUCUAACUGCCUCCAAGCCCCUAUGGAAAGCGAAAUCAAGCUGCAAAAAGAGAUGUGUACAUCUUAAACAAACAGUGCUAUGCCCAGAACAGAAAAUGAGGUAAAUAUGAAAAAAAAAAGGGUUUCUUGAAAGCAUUCUAAUUAAAACCUCUUCCUGUUCUUUUCUGUUAAAUGGUCGGAGAACAAAAUUGGCAGGAUCCAUCUUCCCAGGUGGUCGUCCAAUGCCUGCAAGAUAUCACCGCAAGAAUAUUUUCAGACAUGGUAACUGAGUUGAAAAAGGAGAGAAGCGCUAUACCAAUUCUUAGACGUGGGAAAUCACGGUUCUGCUUCAAAUGGUUGAUAAUGCUUCUCACCCUGCAAGUGGUGAACAUAUGGAUGAGAGGUUCCCCAAGAGAAGAUGUGGGAGAAACAAAUGUACAAUUGAACAUCCUAAAGUUUGUCUGAUGCAUUUUCUCACAACUAUGCACCUUAGAUCAGUUCUUAAGUAACAAUGGAUAAUGCAUUGCAUUAGGACAAGUAGAAAGAUGGUGCCAACGGUAUAUGAUGAGAAAUUAAGAAUAUCCUUUUGCUUAGGUGAACUUCAGAGUUAUCUACCUCCAAAAGUUAGGUCUUCAGCAUAAAGUUAGUAAAAUAAUCACUGAGUUAACACAUGCAGGUAAUGAGUUUCGACCAUUUUGUAAAAGAAGUAGAAGAGAGCUGAGAAAUUAAGAAUAUCCUUUUGCUUAGGUGAACUUCAGAGUUAUCUACCUCCAAAAGUUAGGUCUUCAGCAUAAAGUUAGUAAAAUAAUCACUGAGUUAACACAUGCAGGUAAUGAGUUUCGACCAUUUUGUAAAAGAAGUAGAAGAGAGCUGGAGUACCCAUUAUGACCGCCAUGUCCACCUUUCGGCAGUAGACGCAAUUUUGCAAAGGGCAAGUCUAGAUCAUCAUACAUCUGCAGAGAAUAAAAAAUGAAUGAAGAAUCAAAAUAUAGCAAUCUGUUAAAAAAAACAGCAACCAGAAACUCGAGGAUAGCACUUUACCACAAGAACUUGAUUAAGUGGUAUCUUGAAAUAUGAGACCAACUGCCCCACCUGUAUAACUCGAUUUGUCAAACGAAAAAGGUAAAAAAAAGAAGGAACAACUAGUAGUGAAGGUUGUUUUGGAAUCAGUAUACUUACAGACUCACCACUUGCAUUCAUAAAAGUUUGUGGCUUGGCCAGCAUGAUAGGGGCAUCUCCAAUACGACCUAAAUAUUAUUUUCUGUUAUGAAUGUUUGAUAGCACUACCUUCAGAAUUUCAAAUAAGUAUAUGCACCUGCUCAUGUUUAAUAUUCAAGCAUAGAGUAUCUUAAACAAAUAGCAUUUGUUUAUAGGUAAUAUUUAUGAAAACCGCAUAAAUAUUGUUAGAGUUGAAAAGGUAAUGUGCAAGACUUGAGGAACAAAGUACAGCUCUGGGAAUCCAGAUAGCAUGGCUUCUUUCAACACAAGAUGUAUCAGUUGAAAAGAAUUAUAUUAAUUGUCAAUAUUACCUUUUCCUACCAUUGCCUUGAACUGCAUACUGCUGAGGGAUAUACCUUCAGCUUCUGCUAUAACAUCAAUCAUCUCGAAUCCAACCUGUGAACAAUAUGAGCGACCUCAAGGUUAGCAACUAAAUUAGAUACAUAAUGCAUUGGUGCACUCAUAUUGGGACUGUGUCAUGCGUGACCAUUUAUUGAACAAAGGACUGAAGUUAUGUGCAAUAUAUAUAUUCCACGAAACUGAUACUGAAGACAUAGAAACUGAGAAUCAGACGAAAAAACAUUGUAUGAAUUAGAUGCCUCAAAAAGCAACGCAUAAUGAAUUUUGCUGCCCUCAAAGUGAGAUCUCCUUUGUAAUAUAUACUGUCAACAAAAACUUGACAACUACACAUUGAAAUGUUCUUUUCAAAUACUUCAUCUAACAUGUGGCCAUUUCCAUACUUGCAGAAUGGGUUUGAGCUCUUCAACAGUCAGAAAGGUUGCAGUUUUGUUUAUUUCGUCUUUGAACAACUACCAGUUCGAGUAUUCGACCCUAAUAACUACAGGGAGUCUAGUACAAGCAGCUCAAAAUCAGGCAACUUACGUUGUGGCGAGUCCCUUGGUACACUUUCCCGGGGUUCCCGAGCCCGACGAACAACCACGGCUUCAGCGCGCCGCCGUCGCCCGCGGCCGCCGCGGCUGACGAGGAGGCCGCUCGGCACGCGGUGGCAGAGGCGGGGACCGGCAAGCAUCUUGCCCUCGCGCGGGCGAGUGAGAGGAGGGGGCAGGGGAUUCGGGAAGCAGAGGCGCCGGAGAGCAGCCGCAUCGCCGUAGUCGCCGCCGUCGCCGCCGCCCGUGAGGAGGAGGAACCACGAAUUGGCGGCCGGCUCGGAACCAGGAGCGCUUUUCCAUCGUCUACUCUGAUCGGACGGCUAUGAGUAACCCAGGAUCGGAAUCCGACGGUUGCCUCCGAGCCCUCGAUCUCGGCCGCGAGGCUUCAGAAUCCGACGGUGGAAAUGCCCCGUGCGGCACGGGCUCGAGUCCCUUCUCUGUUCUCUCUCUCUCGCUACGCGGUGGGCGCAAGGGCGCAAAGCGACGGUCACUGGCGUAGCGUUCGGCCGAAGCGAGCCCGUAGGCCGGAGGAGCCAGCCGCCAUCGUCGGCGACUAGGCCGCUAUCGUUACAGCUAGGCUAAUAGUACAGCUACUUGUUACCUCCAAAAAUAACCACAUCAUUCUAUUCUAGCGAAUGACACAAGCUAAUCAAUACAAUAAUAGAGUGCGGGUUUAUUUGGGGAGGUUAAAAUCAUGAGAAGCAGCUGAUUGUUAACCAGCUUAUAAGAAUCUGAAAAUAGCUAAGAGUCUGACUGUUAGUUUAUUUUCUGGAUUCUAUAACUAUAGCUUCUUAAAAUCUAGACCAAAAUCUAGACUGUUUGGGGAAACUUCUAGUUCUGGGAGAAGCUGUAGCAACUAGAAACUCUCCCCAAACAGAACCUAUAUAUACAUCUCUACGCACUUCCCAUGGCUAGGUUUGAUUUUUUUUUUUAAAAUCUUCACUUGAAUGUUGCAAUUGGCUGAGAGCAGCAGCAAUAUUGGGAGCAGUGUACAACCGGGCUGUAAAUUAGUCACCGAGCUUCUCUCUCUUUUCCAUUCACCCUCCAGCUUACUCCUCAAACCUACGUGGAGUCAGUAUCGCCGGCGCUAUGAGUGUUAUUUUAACUGCUCUUAGAAGGUCAAUUCUUGCGUCCUGCAUAACCCGUGUCGGAGGCCACAGCCGAAAACUGCAGGUGUUGUGGCGGUGAACCUUCACUUUUCCAUGUCAAAGAGAUUGCCAUAACUUACGUUAAAAAAAAGAUUGCCAUAACUUUUUUUUUGCGCUAAGCUUGUAGUUGUAACCGCUAGUUACUAAUGCUCUCUAAACAUCCUAGCUUGCUAUAUUUUAGGAUAGAACCGGUACUUACUACAAUAGCCACUCUCUUUGAGCUACAUGAUUACACGGAAAAAAGAAACAAUUCUCACAUGAAUAGCAAAUAUUUACCUUGUUUCAACUCCUUAGAUUAAACAUAUAUUUCCACCCUAUCUUCAUGCCAUCAGAAAUGAAUGGCCACAUCGUUACGGUAUAUUUACAAACGAAAAAUAAUUUAUAAAUAUAUUUUUUAUAUACGUGUUCUUAGCGAUUUAAAAGUAAAAGCUGAAAAAAUAAACUUCGAUGUAAAACCCCAAAAUCAACUCUAAAUAUAAAGUUAAAAAUUUAAAUUUUGGCUGAUACUUAUAAACAUAAGAAAAGGACGAGGGACAAACUCUUCCAUGCUAGUAGUAACUGUUCGUGCUGUUGUCAAACAGUAGUCUCGCGCUACUGUUUGUAUUCUUUUCGAAAAAAAAAUGAACUAGCUAUACUGCUUUUUUAUAUGUGCUAAUGGAAUCCUAGCUACUCCGUAUUUGAAUUGACAAAAUUAAAGCAGCAUGUCAUGCAUUCUGCAGUUCUCUGCAGAGAGAAAUUGGAUCUGCGCACAGCAGGGUCGGUUUAGUUGUCACAUCGAAUGUUUAACCGUAUGUGGGAAGGGUUUUUGAAACACGAACGAAAAAACUAAUUUUAUAACUCACAUGUAAAACUGCGAGACGAAUCUUUUGAGCCUAAUUAGUCUGUCAUUAGCACAUGCAGGUUACUGUAGCACUUAUGGCUAAUCAUGGACUAAUUAGGCUCAAAAGAUUCAUCUCGCGAUUUCCCCCCUAACUGUGCAAUUGGUUUUUCUUUUAAUCUAUAUUUAAUACUUUAUGCAUGUGUCUAUAAAUAAAAGUUGGAUGUGAUGUUUUUGGAAAAAUAAUUUGGGAACUAAACCCUAUUGCCAAGGUGGAUGUUUUCCGCGAGACCUGCAAGUCUUCCCCGCCAUAACGUGUACGUUUGCACAUUCUCAAGCAGCACCAGAAGAUGAAUCAGUUUAGCGAAAACUCCAUGAGACGGACAAAAAAUGUGACAGUCAUGCGUUAUUAUUACUCCCAUCCCUCUCUAAACGAUGUACAAACUAGACAGGGGAUGUCCUGUCGAUUAGGCAAGACCGCAAGACUCUUUCCCUAAUUCCCAGCCCGUCAACUGGUUCUUUAUGAGUCACACACGUAUUCAGGGUUUCACACUGACGAUGCCAUGAAGUGCAGCAGAGAUAUACCAGUCCAGUGUGAUCAGCGGUCGUGUUUCUUCCAGUCCAGUCGCUUUCCAGCAAGAACGUGUCCAGUGGGGGGCGCUAACUAUCAGUCUACCACCAGUCAGCCCCCGAAGGAAAAAUAGACAAGGCAGCAACAGUUUUAGUUCAUACUAGUCUAAUCUUUGGAAAUUGGAAGCAUUAACAAGUCCGUAGCCUUCUUUUUGUCCACAACUAGAGAAAAAAUAACAUGAGACGUUUCUCCAAUAAAAGUUAGAUAGAAAUUUAGAUAUUUGUGGCAUAUUUUUCAAACUGCUAAAUAAUACGUUUCAUGUAAAAUUUUUCUAUAUGAAAAAUUACUCUAAAAUAUCAGAUAAAUAUAUUUUCUCAAGUUUGUAAUAAAAAAACUUAAUUAGUCAUACGUUGAUAUCAUCUCAUUUUAUAUAAAAUACUUAAUUUUUAUCUUCAUCUUCAUCUAUAUGAGUUUCAUUCGAACAUGACGUACUACGCUGUGUAUUCAAGGUAGCACUAGCAAAUUAAGCUGUACACUCACAGGAACAAAUGCCAAUUUCGUUUCCGUACUACGUUCCCCCUUCACUGUUUUCUUUGGUGAGAUGAAAAAAAUGUCAUGCUAAUUAAUUAAGCUGUGUCCCCGCAAAAAGAAAUUAAUUAAGCUGUGCACUCUCGAUCGAUCGGUUCGGCAAAAGAUUUAUUAUUUCCUCUUUCGCCUAUUCUUUCAUCACGGUCACAAACGUGAACAUGCACGUACAGGGAAGCAGCUUGUGAACGAGCUCGCUCGCAUCAACUUUUAGGCCGCCUUUGAUUUAAAGAAAAAACAUAGAAAUUUUGAAGGAUUUUAAUCCUACAGAAAAAUUUUCUAUAACACCCUUUGAAACAAAUGAUCAAAUCCUAUCAUAUCCUUUGGAAUUUCUAUGGAAUGGAUAAUUCUAAAGAGAUUUUCUUGAGGAAAUUUAACAAGAGCUCCAACCUCUUGAAAGCUUUCCUUUUAGUCUAUCUCUUUCAUCCGAUUUUCUUCCCUUUUGCCGCGGUUCAUUCAAACGAUCAUUCCUGUGUUUUGCAAUCCUCUAUUUUACACUUGCAUUCCUAUUAGGGCCCCUUUGAUUCGCAGGAUAUGAAAAACACAGGAAUAGGAAAAACACAAUAUUUGAAAUGGUAGGAUUUUCAAAUCCUACGGGAAGAGAAAACAGAGAAAAACGUAAGAAGAUCCUUUGAUAUAGGCAUAGGGAAAACAAAGGAAUUCGCACCAGGAAGAAUUCCAAGAGGUCUUACCUCUUUUUUAGUUUCCUUUGGAAUCCACUCAUAGGAAUGCAAUCCUAUGGAAUUUAUACUUGCCUUUUCUAUAAAUCAAAGAGGCUUGAAGGAAAAAAAUCCUUUGAAAUCCCAUUCCUAAAAAAAAUCAUUUGGCAUUACUUUAAAUUAAAGAGGCUCUAGAAUCCUACGUUUUUCUUAUUCCUUCGUUUUUUCAUUCCUAAGAUUCAAAGGGAUCCUUAGUUUGUAUUCCUUCUCCAGUUUUCCCAAUUCAGCUUUCUCGUUUUUCGUGCGCACGCUUUUUAAACUAUUAAACAGUAUGUUUUAUAUUAAUUAUUUUUUUAAAAAAGCUAAUACUUAAUUAAUCAUAUGAUAAUACGAUGCAUCAUUUUGCGUGCAGCCUUAGUUUCCAUGGGGGGCAAAGUCUCUGGUCGGUCUUCCCGAUGUACGUGGUCUGGCUUCUCCAGUCUCCACUAUCGCAACUCCCAGGAUAUAAGCUUGGCCACCACGCCAUGCACAGCUACCAGCCUCAGCCAGCUGCCACCUCCGAUUCCAUCGAGCUCUCCUCCUGCCAAUGGCGCUCGUCUUCUUCUUCUUCGUCGUCUUCCACCUCGCCGUGCUGAUGGCUGCGCUCCUGCUCGCAAGCGCGCCGGCGUUCGCCACGGCCGACGAUCUGUCGGCGCUGCUGGCGUUCAGGGCGCGGGUGUCCGACCCGAGCGGCGUGCUCCGCCGCGGCAACUGGACGGCGGCCGCGCCCUACUGCGGCUGGCUCGGCGUCACCUGCGGCGGCCACCGCCACCCGCUGCGCGUCACGGCGCUGGAGCUGCCCGGCGUGCAGCUCGCCGGCUCGCUGGCCCCCGAGCUCGGCGAGCUCACCUUCCUCUCCACCCUCAACCUCAGCGACGCCCGGCUCUCGGGCCCGAUCCCUGAUGGCAUCGGCAACCUGCCACGCCUCCUGUCUCUCGAUCUCUCCAGCAACCGCCUCUCAGGUAAUCUCCCCUCGUCUCUCGGCAACCUCACCGUGCUUGAAAUCCUCGACCUUGACUCGAACAACCUCACCGGUGAAAUCCCUCCCGACCUGCACAAUCUGAAGAACAUUAUGUACCUUGGAUUAAGCAGAAACGAGUUGAGCGGGCAGAUACCACGUGGCAUGUUCAAUGGCACGUCACAGCUUGUUUUCUUGAGCCUUGCUUACAACAAACUAACAGGGAGCAUUCCUGGUGCUAUUGGUUUCUUGCCAAACAUUCAGGUGCUUGUACUGUCAGGGAACCAGCUUUCAGGGCCAAUACCUGCAUCGCUGUUUAACAUGUCCAGCUUGGUACGGAUGUACCUGGGCAAGAACAAUCUCUCUGGCUCUAUCCCAAACAACGGAAGCUUCAACCUUCCCAUGCUGCAAACAGUUAAUCUCAACACAAACCAUUUAACUGGCAUAGUGCCUCAAGGCUUUGGGGCAUGCAAGAACCUGCAAGAGUUCAUUCUAUUCAGCAAUGGCUUCACCGGUGGCAUACCACCGUGGCUGGCUUCUAUGCCUCAGUUGGUGAAUGUCUCCUUGGGUGGCAAUGACCUUUCUGGUGAAAUCCCUGCCAGCUUGGGCAACCUUACAGGUCUCACCCAUCUGGAUUUCACCAGGAGUAAUCUGCAUGGGAAGAUACCACCGGAGCUGGGACAGCUGACACAGCUGCGGUGGCUGAACCUUGAGAUGAAUAACCUGACCGGUAGCAUCCCAGCCUCUAUCAGAAACAUGUCUAUGAUCUCUAUCCUUGACAUAUCCUUUAACUCAUUGACUGGAUCUGUGCCAAGGCCAAUAUUUGGUCCAGCCCUUAGUGAACUCUACAUUGACGAGAAUAAGCUCAGUGGGGAUGUCGAUUUCAUGGCUGACCUGUCAGGUUGCAAGAGCCUUAAGUAUCUUGUGAUGAACACAAACUACUUCACUGGUAGCAUCCCAAGUUCUAUUGGCAACCUUUCCUCCCUCCAGAUCUUUCGAGCAUUCAAGAACCAAAUUACUGGAAAUAUCCCUGAUAUGACAAAUAAGAGCAACAUGUUGUUCAUGGAUCUUCGCAACAACCGAUUUACCGGGGAAAUUCCGGUAUCAAUUACAGAGAUGAAGGAUCUCGAAAUGAUUGAUUUUUCUUCUAAUGAGUUGGUUGGGACCAUUCCUGCAAAUAUUGGCAAAUCAAAUCUGUUUGCCCUAGGCCUUGCCUACAACAAGCUCCAUGGCCCCAUACCUGAUAGCAUUAGUAAUCUAAGUCGGCUACAAACCUUAGAACUAUCAAAUAAUCAGCUCACUUCAGCAGUACCGAUGGGCCUAUGGGGCCUUCAAAAUAUCGUGGGUCUUGAUCUGGCUGGAAAUGCUUUGACUGGCUCUUUGCCAGAAGUUGAAAAUCUGAAAGCAACAACAUUUAUGAACCUUUCUUCCAAUCGAUUUUCUGGUAAUUUACCAGCCUCACUUGAACUAUUUAGCACACUGACCUACUUAGACCUUUCAUAUAACUCCUUCUCUGGAACAAUUCCAAAGUCCUUUGCAAAUCUUAGUCCUCUCACUACCCUGAAUCUCUCUUUCAAUAGAUUGGAUGGGCAAAUCCCAAAUGGUGGUGUGUUCUCAAACAUUACCCUCCAAUCUUUGAGAGGGAACACAGCACUCUGUGGUCUUCCACGCCUUGGUUUCCCCCAUUGCAAAAAUGACCAUCCUCUUCAGGGUAAAAAAUCAAGGCUUCUAAAAGUAGUUCUUAUUCCAAGCAUAUUGGCUACUGGAAUAAUAGCAAUCUGCUUGCUGUUUUCGAUUAAAUUUUGCACUGGCAAGAAACUGAAGGGCCUGCCGAUUACUAUGAGUUUGGAGUCAAACAACAACCAUAGGGCUAUCUCCUACUAUGAGCUGGUUCGUGCCACAAACAACUUCAAUAGUGAUCACCUACUAGGAGCUGGAAGCUUUGGCAAAGUCUUCAAGGGCAAUCUAGACGAUGAGCAGAUCGUCGCGAUAAAAGUCCUCAACAUGGACAUGGAAAGAGCUACCAUGAGUUUUGAAGUCGAGUGCCGUGCACUUCGCAUGGCUCGGCACCGAAACUUGGUGAGGAUACUCACCACCUGUUCGAAUCUGGACUUCAAGGCGUUGGUGCUGCAGUACAUGCCCAAUGGGAGCCUGGACGAAUGGUUGCUGUACAGUGACAGGCAUUGCCUUGGAUUGAUGCAGAGGGUGAGCAUCAUGUUGGAUGCGGCGCUCGCUAUGGCUUACCUACACCAUGAGCACUUUGAGGUAGUCCUCCACUGUGAUCUGAAGCCAAGCAACGUGCUGCUUGACGCAGACAUGACGGCUUGCAUCGCAGACUUUGGAAUUGCAAGGUUAUUGCUAGGAGAGGACACCUCCAUAUUCUCCAGGAGCAUGCCAGGAACAAUCGGAUACAUGGCACCAGGUAAUCACUUGUCGAUUUACCGUUCAUCUUUGGUUCCACUGAAAUCGCCAAUUUCUGCAGAUCCCCCUUGAUCUUUGUUUACCAUGAACAUCACAGAGUACGGGUCGACAGGAAAAGCAUCGCGAAAGAGCGACGUGUUCAGCUACGGGGUCAUGCUCCUGGAGGUCUUCACGGGGAAGAAGCCAACCGACGCCAUGUUCGUCGGAGAGCUGAGCUUGAGGGAGUGGGUCAACCGAGCGCUCCCGUCAAGGCUCGCCGACGUCGUACAUCCUGGCAUCUCUCUGUAUGACGACACGGUGAGCAGCGAUGAUGCCCAAGGUGAAUCAACCGGCAGCAGGAGCUGCUUAGCGCAGCUGCUGGAUUUGGGGCUGCAGUGUACCAGAGACUUGCCUGAGGACAGGGUGACGAUGAAGGAUGUGACUGUGAAACUGCAGCGGAUCAAGGAGGUAUUACAAGCCUAGAUAGUCUUGUCCUGCAGCCCUGCAGAUGAUAACCCAAAGCUGGCAAGGCCAUGUGUCAUCUGUGGUGGUUGCAAAUGCUGAACUGCAUCAUGAAAGCUGUAGCCUUCCUUGAAAAGAUACCUGUAACAGUAGUUGAGUUGCAGGUUUGCAGCCAUCUAACAAAAAGUAAUAUACUACGUGUUAGAGAGUUGUUUAGGGCUUAAUCCUCCAAUAACCUGCCAAAGAACGCAAUGAAUAUUUCUACUAGUUUUCAAAGGACCACUGAAAAAUUUCAGUUAACCCAACAAUAUAUGAGAGGUCCACGAUUCCAUCAUGAUGCCCACAGCCCACCCUCCAUCGUACAGAAAAUAAGCAAACAAUGCAAGCAAGCAAUUAAAUACUUAAUGGAAGGGAAGUUGUGCACGUACAGCUUCUCUUGUAUUCAAUGUACUACUAUCAAUUAUCAGUGAUCAUGACGCUGUUUGAUGGCUCCAUGGAUAUGGAUAGUCUAGCAUGGGGAAGAGCGACUAUCAUCAACUUGCUUCGCUGAACCUGACCGCCUUCAAUAAUAGACAUGUGAAAUGGCGGUUGGUGUGAAAUGGUGCGUUGGUGAGCACGAUUCAGAGCAUAGUCUACUCAGGAUUGACCAAACACAUGGAAAGUGUUGCUUCUCUUAGACUCUUAGUCAACUGCUGAAUAAGGGUUAAGGGUGUGUUUAGUUGGGGAAAAGGGAAUUUUUGGAUGUCACAUCGGACGUUUGACCGGAUGUCGGAAGGGGAUUUCGGAACCGCAAGACGAAUCUUUUAAGACUAAUUAAGCCGUCAUUAGCACAUGUGGGUUACUGUAGCACUUAUGGCUAAUCACGGACUAAUUAGGCUUAAAAGAUUCGUCUCGCGAUUUCCCCCAUAAUUGUGCAAUUAGUUUUUCUUUUAAUCUAUAUUUAAUGUUUUAUGCAUAUGUCCAAAGAUUCGAUGUGAUGUUUUUGGAAAAAAAAUUUUGGGUAACUAGACGGGCCCUAAUAAGAAAUGGAUCUCUAGGAUAGAAGCGCUUCAGUAUUUUUACAGUUCUUUGAUACCUGAAACAACAGCCAGGAACAAACUUUUAAAAAGAUUGUCCUGAAAAAAAUCACACCAGAUGUUUCAUUCGUGAAAAGAAAAGGCAUAAGUAAUGGUGCCAAGCAUACCAAGAUAGUAUCAAAGAUGGAAAUGGCAUAUGAAUAUACUUGGAGUUUGCUUUCAAAAAAAUAUACUUGGAGUUAGAUUAUCUCCCAGUUUUUAUUUAAAAAAAAAUCUAGCUAGCGUAGAACGACUAUUUAAGUGAUUUUCUGAAAAAAAAAUUAAACCAGAUGUUUUAUUCUUGGAAAAUCAAACAAACAUAAGUACUGGCGCCAAGCAUGAAGCAUCAAAGUUGGCUGUGUACACCCAUGUUGGUGUAGAGACCGGGUUUUAAUCUAUUAUUAAAAACAGAACAGAAAAAAAACGAAGCUAUCAAUGACGGAAAUGACAUACUCCUACAGCUUUGCUCCUUGACUUCUGGAAGAGGUUGUUUCUUGGAAGGAAUUCAUUUUUUUCCUUCUUUCUAUUUUGAAACUUUGAAGUGUACCAAGAAACUGCAGUGUACAACCAGCUCUGAAAAAUGAAAGUUUGUUUUCAAACGAAAAAGUCUAAAACGCUUUCUUCCUUUCACACAUAUUUCCACUAAAAAAAACAACUUUUUGACCAUUCAACACAAUGCACAUGUCAAUUGCACAUCCCACACGGCCACACUUCCAAUAAAACCACCAAUAGAACCAGCACACUGCUCAUGCGUAAUUGUGUAUCCUCAUCAUCAACCUUCAUUCCUUCACUACCAUGGCUCUUCUCUGCAUCAGCAUGGUGCUCCUCAUCCUAUUGGCACCAUGCGCCACUUCACUCACCCCUCCAUACAACAACACAGACCUCGCUGCACUGCUCGACUUCAAGGAGCAAGUCAAGGACCCUAAUGGCAUCCUUGCCAGCAAUUGGACUGCCAGUGCACCCUUCUGCUCAUGGAUUGGGGUCUCAUGCGACAGCAGCGGGAAGUGGGUCACUGGGCUUGAGUUUGAAGACAUGGCACUUGAAGGAACCAUCAGCCCGCAGAUUGGCAAUCUCUCCUUCCUCUCCAGCCUUGUACUCAGCAACACCACCCUCAUCGGACCUGUGCCAACCGAGCUCGAUAGGCUGCCCCGACUGCAAACUCUUGUUCUUUCAUACAACAGCCUGUCAGGUACCAUCCCCUCCAUCCUUGGCAACCUCACAAGGCUCGAGUCUCUUUAUCUUAAUAGCAACAAAUUCUUUGGGGGGAUUCCACAAGAGUUGGCAAAUCUUAACAAUCUUCAGAUAUUAAGAUUGUCAGAUAACGACUUGAGCGGACCAAUACCACAAGGCCUGUUCAAUAACACACCCAACCUGAGUAGGAUACAACUCGGGUCAAAUAGGCUAACAGGAGCAAUUCCUGGUAGCGUUGGAUCAUUGUCGAAGCUGGAGAUGCUAGUCCUAGAAAAUAAUCUUCUCUCAGGCUCCAUGCCUGCUGCUAUCUUCAAUAUGUCCUACCUGCAAGCCAUAGCAGUCACACGGAACAAUCUCAGAGGUCCGAUUCCUGGAAACGAGAGCUUUCACCUCCCUAUGUUGGAAUUUUUCUCUCUCGGUGAAAAUUGGUUCGAUGGACCUAUCCCAUCGGGCCCUUCCAAAUGUCAAAACCUUGAUUUGUUCUCCCUAGCUGUAAAUAAUUUCACAGGUUCUGUGCCAUCAUGGCUGGCGACAAUGCCAAACCUCACUGCAAUUUACUUGUCAACCAACGAGCUCACUGGAAAGAUCCCAGUUGAACUGAGCAAUCAUACUGGGCUGCUUGCUUUGGACCUUAGCGAGAACAAUCUAGAGGGAGAAAUACCACCAGAGUUUGGACAGCUGAGAAACCUCAGGUAUAUAAGCUUUGCAAACAACCAAAUAACAGGUACCAUUCCCGAAUCUAUAGGCAAUCUCUGACCUCACCACAAUAGAUUUGUUCGUAAACGGAUUAACUGGAUCGGUGCCAAUGUCAUUUGGGAACUUGUGGAAUCUUCGUGACAUCUAUGUUGAUGGGAACCAGCUCAGUGGGAACCUUGAAUUCCUAGCUGCAUUAUCAAAUUGCAGUAAUCUGAACACAAUUGGCAUGUCAUACAAUAGAUUUGAAGGGAGUUUACUACCCUGUGUUGGAAACCUUAGCACACUGAUCGAAAUUUUUGUAGCAGACAACAAUAGGAUCACUGGAAGCAUCCCCAGUACAUUGGCUAAGCUUACCAACCUACUGAUGCUAUCUCUCAGAGGAAACCAGCUAAGCGGGAUGAUCCCCACGCAGAUCACAUCAAUGAACAACCUCCAAGAACUCAAUCUCUCCAACAACACCUUGUCUGGCACCAUCCCAGUAGAAAUCACUGGAUUAACAAGUCUAGUUAAGCUGAAUCUUGCUAACAAUCAACUUGUCAGUCCUAUUCCAAGUACCAUCGGUAGCCUAAACCAGUUACAAGUUGUGGUAUUGUCCCAAAACUCGUUGUCUUCAACAAUACCAAUUAGUUUGUGGCAUCUUCAGAAACUUAUUGAGCUUGAUUUAUCACAGAACUCUUUGAGUGGUUCUCUACCUGCUGAUGUUGGAAAACUGACAGCAAUUACUAAGAUGGAUCUAUCAAGAAACCAGCUAUCAGGUGAUAUACCAUUUUCUUUUGGUGAACUCCAGAUGAUGAUCUAUAUGAAUCUAUCCAGUAAUCUACUCCAAGGUUCAAUACCAGAUUCAGUUGGCAAGUUACUAAGUAUUGAGGAGUUAGACCUUUCCUCCAAUGUGCUUUCGGGUGUCAUCCCAAAGUCCUUGGCCAAUCUCACUUAUCUUGCCAAUUUGAACCUAUCUUUCAAUAGACUGGAGGGUCAGAUACCAGAAGGAGGUGUGUUCUCAAACAUCACUGUCAAGUCAUUGAUGGGAAACAAGGCACUAUGUGGCCUUCCGAGCCAAGGAAUAGAAUCAUGCCAGAGCAAAACUCACUCAAGGUCAAUACAACGGCUACUAAAAUUCAUAUUACCUGCAGUUGUGGCAUUUUUUAUUUUAGCAUUUUGCUUGUGUAUGUUGGUAAGAAGGAAAAUGAAUAAGCCAGGAAAGAUGCCACUACCCUCAGAUGCAGACUUGCUGAAUUACCAGUUAAUCUCAUACCAUGAACUUGUCCGUGCAACAAGAAACUUCAGUGAUGAUAACCUGCUAGGGAGUGGAAGCUUUGGUAAAGUCUUCAAAGGCCAGCUAGAUGAUGAGUCCAUUGUCACAAUAAAGGUCCUAAACAUGCAACAGGAAGUAGCUUCCAAAAGCUUUGACACAGAGUGCCGCGUGUUACGAAUGGCUCAUCACCGCAACUUGGUGAGGAUUGUUAGCACUUGCUCUAAUCUUGACUUCAAAGCACUAGUUCUUGAGUAUAUGCCCAAUGGAAGUUUGGAUAAUUGGUUGUACUCAAAUGAUGGGCUGCACCUCAGUUUCAUCCAAAGGCUCAGUGUCAUGCUGGAUGUUGCGAUGGCAAUGGAGUAUCUACACCACCAUCACUUUGAGGUUGUCCUGCAUUUUGAUUUAAAGCCAAGCAAUAUUUUGCUUGACAAUGAUAUGGUUGCACAUGUUGCCGACUUCGGAAUUUCCAAGUUGCUGUUUGGAGAUGACAACUCUAUCACAUUAACGAGUAUGCCAGGCACUGUAGGAUACAUGGCACCAGGUGAUAACCCUUGUAAAGUCUGUACAAUCUGUAUUCUUGUUUCAUCUAACUUAAGCUGACCAGUUCUCUUUUGACAUGGUGCAAACAGAGUUAGGAUCAACAGGAAAAGCAUCACGCAGAAGUGACGUAUACAGCUACGGAAUUGUCCUCCUCGAAGUCUUCACAAGGAAAAAACCAACUGAUCCAAUGUUCGUCAAUGAGUUGACCUUCAGGCAAUGGAUUAGUCAAGCAUUCCCAUAUGAGCUCUCAAAUGUCGCCGACUGUAGUCUACAACAAGAUGGUCAUACGGGUGGUACUGAGGAUUCGAGUAAGCUAUCUGAGGAUUCAAUCAUCUUGAAUAUCUGUCUAGCAUCCAUAAUUGAGUUGGGCUUGCUUUGCUCAAGAGAUGCACCUGAUGACAGAGUUCCAAUGAAUGAAGUAGUUAUCAAGUUAAACAAGAUCAAGUCAAAUUACUACUCUCUGUGGAAGCAAUGGAGCUCACCUGGUGAAAUAUCCUGAAAUACCCUCUUUAGUGCAUCUGGAAACUAAUCAAAAUGGUUCAGAAGAAAAGAACUCUGAGGAAUUAUAAUAGGUUUUUACAAUUGACAAGUCCAUAUAAAAGGCUUUAUGUAAGUAGUAUCAGUUGCAAAUUGCAAAUCUGAGCCACACGCUUGUAAUGAAUCAAAAGAGAGGAAUAGACAUAUCUUUUCAUUAAAUGCAAAUCACUGCAGAACUAUGGAUAGUGCAGGAGGAGGUUGAGGCUCUGUUGAAGGCUUGAGAAGAUGGUUUGCAGCAAAAAUGCUCUGAUCAACUAAUCAACUAGCAAAAGGUGACAUAUAAAUGCUUUCGCAUACAGGGUCAGGUUAUGCCACAGAGCAAAGCUAGGUAGCUUUUGAAUUUUGGCUUAGGCCCUGUUAGUUCCCACACAAAAACUUUUCACCCUGUCACAUCGAAUGUUUGGACACAUACAUGGAGUAUUAAAUAUAGACAAAAAAACUAAUUACACAGAUUGCGUGUAAAUUGCGAGACAAAUCUUUUAAGUCUAUUGCUCCAUUAUUUGAUAAUGUGGUGCUACAGUAAACAUUUUCUAAUGGCUGAUUAAUUAGGCUUAAAAAAAUCGUCUCGCAGCUUACAGACAUAAUCUGUAAUUUGUUUUGUUAUUAGUCUACGUUUAAUACUUCAAAUGUGUGUCCGUAUAUCCGAUGUGACACGCCAAAACUUUUCACCUCUGGAUCUAAACACAGCCUUACUUUUACCUGCUUAGAGUAGUCUUCAUAGUCCCAUCUUUCCUUGAUGAACUGAUGAGUAGAGCUCAAGUCUUACUAUUUGAAAAAACAUGUCACAAUAUCACUGACAACAUAUUCUGGUAUUACUUUGAGCAGCAACUGAAAAGAAGAAUCACCAAUACUAUGAGACAUGAAUUUCUCCUUGAAACAUACAGAACGUUAACCUUAUCAUGAAAUAAUCAAAACGGCAUAAUGCUAACUUUUUUUAAACAGAGGACAAGUACUGCUUUCAUUUUUCAUCAAGAAAGAAAAUUCAUACAUUCUGUGAUAAAGCUAGUAGUGCCCAGCCUAUUUGCAGCUUCUUUUCUUUUCUUUCAGAAGCUGAACUAGUGUGGUACUACUCGAAAGGCAGGAAAUAAAUAGCUAAUGCCUAUGCGUUCAAUCAGGUCUUGCCGUGCGAGAUUAGCUCUGAGAUAAAAACAGGCCACGCACAACUUAAGGUAGCAAAUCAUGAUUAUCUAAGAGGGAAAUACUUGAACCAUCCAUCACUUUAGAAUAGGGUGUUCUAGAUGCAGGAAGUAAUAUGAACUUUAGGACAACAUGUACUGAUGUACAGUUUAAAGCAUAUUAUCACUAGAAUACUAGAUUAGGGAAAUUCUCCACAAAAAGCAAGCCCGGGAGGAGGCGAAGAACGUACCUACCAGCAUUCCCGAAUCCCAGUCCCCUAGUUACUGAUCAAGGCAAGGAAGCAUUCUCGGCGACCAAAUACCUAGCCCUCACUCGGGGUAGCAGCCCCCGUCACAGGCAUUGCCGAUGCGCCCGCUAAUCUGCGGAGCGGCGCGGAUGCGGGCCGGGAGCGUCUUGCGGAGAGAAGCCGACAAAGCAGCACCUCACGACGGCGAAAAACGCCGCCCCGCGCCGUCGCCGCCGGCCAUGGCCACCAUCUUCACUGGCUUUUCCCCUCUCUCGCGCGGCGUGAGAAGGAAAGCAUAGUACUCCUAACGGGCUAUGGG